rnacentral:lncRNA from 1 species
AGGAUCAUAAAUCGAGCCGAGGGAUUCAGUUUUCAGGCGGUGAGCUCCUCUUCCUUGUGGGUCUCGAUGACGAGGUCCGACUGCGGGUAGGCGGCGCAGGUGAGCACCCACCCGGCGGCGACCUGGUCGUCGUCCAGGAAGCUCUGGUCCGACUGGUCCACCUCGCCGGAGACCACCUUGCCGGCGCACGACGAGCAGGAACCAGCCCGGCACGAGUAGGGCAGGUCGAUGCCUUCUUCCUCGGCGUGGUCCAGGAUGUACACGUCGUCGGGGACCUCCAGAUCCACCUCCCCCUCCGGCGUCACCAGCUUCACCUUGUACGUCGCCUGCGCACGAAGCCUCAUGCCCCUCGCCGACGGCGCCGUCAGCGGGAGCACCACACGGGACGAGACGGCCGAGGAAGGUGGAGGGGCGGCUGUGAAGAGGGAGAGGCUGCUCAGCGCGGUGGUCGCCAUUAUUGCAGCUGUGUAAGCUUUCUUGCGAGGAGGAGGAUGGUGUUGGAGAGUGUAUGCAGUAAGCUCUAGCUGGACUGGAGGGGAUGAUGAAGAAGAAGAAGCAGAGGAUGUCCUAGAGGGUGCCACGUGGCCCCUGCAGGUGCUCAGGCUUAUCCUUAAGCUCGGAGCGACCACGGCCACACGAUGAAGGGAUGGACGUCGAUCCACGAGGGCGUGUGGAGGCCAUGCGAUGUAUCCAAUGCGAUUUUGAUCGAUGCACGGCGGCCGUCACAUUUUGGUUUGAGUCAAGCUAGAGAACCUGAUAUGCUGUAAAUUCUUCUAUCUAUAAAUAUUUCGCGACUGGUUUUAGCGAUAGCGAUCAGUCGAUCGAGUGAGUCUAAAUUUCAGUCAGAAAAGAAAAAAAAUCACAAUGAUUUUAGCGAUCAGUCCGUCAUGUGUGACCGGACGAGAAGCCAAGAAGUACACCAGGUUUCACAUUCACAUCAAAAACAGACAAAAAAACUCGAGAUGGAAGCGAUCGUGCCGAGAGUGUGAGCAAAGAUCGCCUUAGUAGACAGUCAGCGGUCUCUCCUCCUCUUGGUCACGCAAAUGGACUUUAAAUUGAGCAGGUCAUGGAAUCCUUCGCUCGGGAACAAUGAACAUGAAAUGCCUUAAAAUUACAAUGCUCCGACCUUCAGUGCAGCUCACCUUUCGUGAGAAGUAAGGCUCCACCAAUCACCGCUGGCGAUGGCACUAGGCAUAUCAUGUCAAGAACAUGUCGAUGAGGCCGGGGAGAAAUGGCAGGACGGACGUCAUGGAGGAGCAGUGGGUGGCGCUAACCCUAGCAACACAAGCUAGGGACAAGGGCAUGUGUAGGCCAUGCGAUGUAUCCUGCGGGGGAGCGAUGGAUGGCCGGCCGGCCAAUGGGGAUGCAUGGUGGCCACCGCAUUUUGGAUCAGUUGAGUGAAGCCACAGAUCUCAUACACUGUUCUGUAAAAAUCUUCUAACCAGAAAUAUUGUUUCGACCGGUGUUAGCGAGAGCGAUCAGUCGACCGAGUGAGUCUAAUUUCAUACAGAGAAUUAUGCAGUUGUUUUUAGCGAGCAAUCAGUCCAUCGUGGCGAUUGGAUGAGAAACAAAGGAGUACAUUGGGCACAAGGUUUGACGUCUAGAUCAGAAACAAUAAAAAAACAUUGAGGUGGAAGCGAUUGGUCUCUCCUCCUCUUAGUUGCACAAGGACUUUAAAUUGAGCAAGCCUUUCAAUGAACAUGAAAUGCCUCGGAAUCACGAUGCUCCUACCUUAAGCGAGAAGCAGCACCAAUCAUUGCUGGCACUGGGUAGAUUGUGUCCAGAACAUGUCCACAAGGCCUAGGAGAAAUGGCAGGCUGGGCAUAAUGGAGGAGUAGUGGCCGGCGCUAACCCUAGCAGCACGUGCAAGGGGAAAGGGUCCGCGGCGGGGAUGCAUGUGGCGUAAGUCGACGGGUCGAGAGAUAUGCGAAGAAAACCUUAAGGAGCACUGAUCAAUCUAGGGAAACCAUGCGGGAUGCCAAUCGAUUCAUAAAAAAAAACGUGUGGUGGGUGCCGAUAGAACUAGGGUAAACCGUGCGGGAGGGUUGCCAAUCAAUCUAGGAAAAAUUGUAGCGGGAAGCAUGCGAGGGGUUCGGAACGAUGUAGAAAAAGCCAUGUUUUUUUUCUGAAAAAAGAAGAGGGGAUAAGCUCAUUGUACCAAGAGAAAAUUGAACUCGCAUCACUAACUCGCAUCACUACUUCGUAGCUAGUAAAAAUACCAUCAUUGCAGAGACACAUCACACACCUGCUGGCUCAACCAUCAAAUCCAUUAAUUUCAGUACGUACAUAAAUACUAGCAGCAGCAGCAGUAAUUUGACCGUAUGGAUCGAUCUCAGGCAGGGGUAGUACAAAAAAGAGGAACACAUAAUAUUACUUGAGCAUUUCAUUCAAGCUCGCUCGCACAGCAGCAACCAAAUCGAUGCACGAUAAGAUCCAUGGAGCUUAGAGAGAUUAUGAUAUCAUCAGACACUCUUGCAAAAGCUGAAGACUAAAAACUUAGGCGGUGAGCUCUUCUUCCUUGUGCGUCUCGAUGACGAGGUCGGACUUGGGGUAUGCGUGGCAGGUGAGCACCCACCCGGCCUCCAUCUGGUCGUCGUCGAGGAAGCUCUGGUCCGACUGGUCCACCUCGCCGGAGAUCACCUUGCCGGCGCACGACGAGCACGACCCGGCCCUGCACGAGUAGGGCAGGUCGAUCCCUUCUUCCUCGAAGUGGUCAAGGAUGUACACGUCGUCGGGGACCUCCAUCUCCACCUCCCCCUCCGGCGUCACCAGCUUCACCUUGUACGUCGCCUGAGCACGGAGCCGGAUGGCCCUCGCCGACGGCGUCAGGGGAAGCGCCACGCGGGAUGGGGCGACGAUUGGGGACGGCGCGGGGGCGGCGGAUGUGAAGAGGGAGAAGGGCGCGCGGAGGCUGCUCAGGGCGGUCGCCAUUGCUGCUGAGAGCUGAGAGCUUGCUUGCUUGCUUGUGUGGUGUGAGGAAGAAGAAGGAGGAUGAGCUAGGGGAUGGAUGAAGAGGGGGGAUAAGUAAGUAAAGGGGGGGGCUGUGUGCCACGUGGCGGGACGUGGGUGGGGGGCUUAUCUUGGAGCGAGGAGCGUCACACGAUGCUCAUCCUCGUCGGCGCCGGGGGGCGUGUGGCUGCCCGGCGACAUCCCGUGAUCUCUCUCGCUUUCUCUUUUUUUUUUGACAAAGAAGGCAGCCUAGUUUCUGCUGGGCCUUUUCCGGCCCAAUUACUAACUAACUACUUCGGUUGCUCGGCUUUCCUUCCAGGCCCGCUAAGCGAAGCCGACGGCAGAUGCAGCCGUGGGCUGGCCGGGGAAUAUGCCGAGUUUUGGGCGGGUUAUUUUUUUUUCCUUUGAUGCGAAUAUGCCUUUUUUUUUUCUUGCAACAAGUCUGAACUUUUAUUUCUACGGACAAGUCUUGUAACUAGUACACGCGGAGAGACUUUUUUGAGUUUUGACGCGAGUUUCUGUUUGACUGACUUGUUCUCUGCGUCCAUUCGAUUUAAUUUAUCGAGACUUUUUCUGUGACAGCUAAAUAUCGAGACUUUGUUGCGGGGUUCUUUUUCGUACCAUUGCUUUCCACGCAUUUAUUAAUUUAUGUGAAUGGAGAAAACGUCUUAAAUCUAUAAUAUCUAUAAAGUUGAUCUUCACUAUUUUUGUUUGCAAGCUUGACAUAUAAGAUGUCUACAUCAUACGCAUGCAUAGUCUCCACAUCACCAUCCACAUCAUGUGUUGUAAAUCACUAGGAAUCCAUUUUGGUGGUCUUUUUGAAUGUCAUAUUUUGAUACUUAGGAUUGUCAACUUAACGUUCUAUAUAAAUAUUUCGCCAAAUACACAUAUUUUCAUGACAUUAUCAAUCUUUUUAAGAUCUGCAAACACACAUAUUUUGAUGUUCAUGUACAUCAAAAUUAUUCCUAUUGUUUUGCUCCAUAGGUGUUAUGAAUGAUAAAAUCAUUUUGUCCUACAAUAUUUAUAUUUCUUUUGCAUUUAACCAUAUUAUUAUCAUGUGUUCCUAACGUCAUAUCCAGAUGUGCAUCUAGAACUUUCCGCGGCAACGCGCGGGGAUCACCUAGUUAUUACUGUUUGCAAUCCAUAUAUAAAGCGAAGAUAUAUAAAGCAAAAAAAAAACAUCACCUAGUUAUUACUGUUUGCGGGGAUCCACACCGUAAUAAUAACCUAAACGAACAUAUAUAACAAUCCAUGUGGGCAGAAAAAAACAUACAUGAGACAUAUAUAAAGCGACGUCAUCAGCUAUCUACUCCAAUUAUCCAACUGUUAAUCUGCUACCUAGAUCGCUUACAUAUGCAGGCCGUUGCAUGUGCCGUGCUAUAUCACGAAGAUCCAAGACAUAAUACGUGAUCUAGACAGACAUGUAGCUGCUCUCUGUCCUUUCUUACUGAUCAAGGAACAUUUAUAAAAUUAAAAUGUUCUCAUCAGUUCCUGCUGAUUGUCUUGAGACAUUAGCAACCGGUUAAUGAUAAAGAAUGGAAAUCAACGGGGGUCGUCAUCAGAUGCAGAAUCUCUUGUAUGCUUAGCUUGUGGAUUACUACUGUAAUAAAUGCGCGUGGCGUAAAGUUUGCACCAAAUCACACAGCGACAAACGGUCAGACAUUGCGUACAUGCAUCCAUGUAUCCCUUCAUUUGACCACAUAAAGCAGUAUUACCUCCGUCCAAUAAUAACGGGGUGUAUUAGCUUUCCUUUGAUCUAUGGUUUGACCACAAAUUAUUCUAAUAAUAUAUAAUUAUAAGGCGUAAGUUGAUAUCCAUUAUAUUUCUAUUCAACGAUAUUUGAUUAUGGUUAUGACUUUGAUCACAUUAGUCACAUAUUAAUAGAGUAAUUUGUGAUCAAAGGCGAAGUACUACAACAGCUAAUACACACUUAUGUUUAAUUAAUUAAAACAGACUUGAUGCUUCCCCUCUACACUUUUCCCCCUGAUUAGUUCCAGCUGCUCCUUCCGAGUAAUUCAAAUACAUCUGCUGUAGUUACCGUUCCUCGCUAUUUGGAUUGAUCGAUUGACUGAUUGAUUAAGGUGUGUGCACGUAAGAAGGUCAAUUAAUUGAUUAACUGACUAAGAUCCGUGUGUUUUGGUCUAGCCAUGCAUGAUUUUCACUUUGCUUGCAAGCAAGCAGAUAGCUAGCUAGGCAGUAUUUCGUGCCUCCCAUGCCAUGCAUCUUGGUUUUCCCAGGCCAAAAAACUGUCUGUCUGUCCGUCUGUCAGGCAGCAAGGGGAAUGGUCGAAUAUUGAACCGGUCAUGCACGGGGUAACUGACGACGCUAGAACACGCAGUAUAUCGUACCACGCACGUCUGCUUCUUCUAUUUUGACAAAAAAUAGCAAAGAUAUUUCUUGUUUUUCCCCUCUUCUCAUUCAUGUUUUCUUGGCAUGCUCUUUCUUUUGGUAUGUGGCAAUAAUGAGCUUAUCCGAGUUAGGAUAAGGUUAGCACAGCCACAAUAUUAAUCAAUACUAUUAGUAUAUCGUCUGGUAGUAAUGUGUUGUUAAGUCAUGAUGGUGGAGAACAACAACACACGCUUUGUUAGUUAGAAUGGCCAGCCAGCUAGCUCAGUUGAAUGCCCUUCAAUCUAUGAUUGAUUUGCGUAUGCAUAUUUCUGUUGAAGCCGUCAUAUAUAUGGCGUGGCAGCUGCAUAUGCAAGAGCUAGUGUCCAACAAACAAGAACCAACCAGACCCAAAGCGUGUCGGCGCCGAUAGCCCGUUCUGCCGUUCCCUUGCGUGGCACGACACGGUAACCAAUCAAAAUCCAUAUCAUUUUUUCCUUUCUCAUAAAAAAUGUCUAGUACAGUCGCAAAAAAAAUAAAUGUUUAGUGCUAUAUACUCCUACUCCUUCCUAAAUAUCAUAAGUUUUUCCUACUAAGUUAUAGUUUUGUCUGUCUUAAAUCAAACUUCUUCAAGUUAUAUAUCUUCAUAGUAUGUCCAUUUAAUAUUGUUGAUCUCAGUAGAUUUUAUUUAACUUAGAACGACACGGACACAAUUUCUUAUACUCGUAGUACUAGUACUAUUUGGGAACGAAGCUGGUACUUAGAGUAUUUUUUUUUCGUGAUUCAAGUAUUUUUAUUGAGUGCCUUAAUGAACUCCAUUUUUCAUUUUCGACUCCGAUGUGGCAUGGGCUUUGCCGCAAGAAAAAAAAACAUCGAAAAAAUGGAAAAAAAGAAAGGAAAAGGAAACGGUAAAGUGUGAAAAGGUUUUAAAAAUGCCAGCGUGGGGUCCACCCAGUUUGAGGUUGACGACGACAAGUAGUUGCAGCAGCAGAGGAGUAUUUCUUUCUCCCUUCCGUGCGCCCAAAUUUCUCCUCUCCCCCCUUCCUUCCUGCUCUCUCUUCUUCGCCAUUCGGGACCUCUUUCUUCUCCAAUCUCGCUACUAACUCCUCUCCGAUCAACCGGUCCAGAGACGGAGGCGCAGCAGACGCACCGAGGUAACACGGAGAUCCAUCCCGCCCAACCAUCUUCUCCUGCCCCCCCUCUCAUGAUUUCUGGUGUUUCUGUUGGUUGUUCUUGUUAUGGGAUUGGAUUCGGUUGGAGCUUGGAAGAACACGCGCGCCGUACAUGCAUUCGGCAACGACAGCGGGGGUUUAUUUCCGAUUUCAAGACCCAAGAACGGAUUUUUGGGACGGAUUUGGGGAUUGGGAUGUUUCUGUCUUCCGUGCCGUCGACUCCCGCCCACCUCUGUUGACUUGGACCUCCGGCCCUUUAAUUUUUUUAUUUUAGGAUUUUUGUUCGGGGGAUUUGUUCUUGUAGUAGUACUAGCUCUUUAUUUUUUUUGGAUCAUUGGGAUUUGGAAGGGACAGCCUGGCCUUCGGGUUGAUCGCCAACGCCCCCGCCUUCGAUUUCACCAACCUUCUUCUUCUUGUUGGUGCGAUUCAAGUUUCAGGCUCCCGAUUUGCUCAGCGUUUCUGACCAUCUGCGCCUCGAUUUGCUAGGUCAAUGCUUGCUCGAUUCCAACCUUCGUGAGCAGUAGUGAUCAAUGGAUGCAUCCCAUUUUCUUUCUCUUUCAAAUUUGUUGACUUGGGAUUUUACUCUAUCUUUUGUUCUCCUGUCGGUUGGUUGGUUUGCUUGUAUUGACCCAGUAAUGGAUGGAUACUAAUGGCGUGCUGCUUGGCUGAACUGGUCAGGCGAAGGCGACCGCCAACCACCCCGGAGGAGAUCUGAGACCCGACCGACCGCCGCCUGCUGGAGGGGGAAGCUGGUGGAGCAGCAGGAAGGGCCGUAUGCUUGUCGCAGGCCAUGUGCCCGGACAUGAAUCCGCGCCAUACAGCAAGGUAGUCUAGUGUUUGAUUCCAGGAAUAUCGCCAUACUGUGUUAUGAAUUUUGUGUCCCAAUUCAUAGUCAUAGGUUCCAUGGGAUGCUCAGGAAGGGCUCUGUAUCAAUGAAAUUUCCUGUAUCAAUAAGCCAAUUGUAGUCUCGGACACCUGGUAUAUGCAGAACCAGAAACUUGCUUAGCCUUUAAUUCAUUAGUGUCGUCUGUUAAACAAUGGAAUGGAAGUUCCUUUAGUUUUCUGGUUUCUGGUCUUGCACGCCUGAAACGUCGGUCAACUCUUCGACACUAACCUGAUGCUGUGUUUGGGUAAACCUGAAUGAAGAUAUUUUGUUUAUUUCUCCGGUCACCUAACCCUGUGGAUAUUUGAUUUUGGACAACCUGGUUUGGUAGAGAAGUGCCCUUGAGGCAAGGGAACUUCCUCAUCAGAUAUUUGUGUCUUUGACUGUGUCUGUGUUUUCUAAAUCCCAUUCUGACCCGGUCUUCUUUUCGUACUGGCAGUCAAGUUGAAUCAGAGGUUCUAGACGGUAAUCGUAACCAUCACAGCCAGCUUGAUGCUGAUCAUCUUGUACAAAUUGGGAGGAGUCCUAUCAAGCGUGGUAGCAACAAUCUGUCCACAGACGACAAUUUCUCCUCGAGUGCCUCUUUGCAUAAACAUGAACAUGUGAGCUCCGAUCCAUCGGCCCCUAAGGCCGAUGACCGCUCAAUUAAGUCUGGUGAUGAUUCUGAUGGGGCUGAGAGUACCAAUGGCAAAAGCAACAAUACGGACUCCCCAGGUACUGAAAAUGAUAGCAUCUGGAUACCACCUGAAGCUGCAGACAAGGGAGAUGAGACCGAGAGUAACAUUGCUUAUGAUGACGACGAUGACGAUUAUGGUGAUGGAAUCAAGUGGGGCCAGUCAAGUUUCCCAGCCGCUGGUGAGGAACACGAGGCCAGCCCCAAUCCUAAGGAUGAGCGAGAAAAUGCAAUGUUGGAAGCUAUGAAUGGACAACUCAAGAUACUCGUGAGUCGGUUUUUGGCCUCUGCUGGUAUCCCCUUUGGAAAAGGAGAGAGUAGUGAGAGUUGGCUCGAUAUUGUGACCUCCCUGUCGUGGGAAGCUGCACUACUUAUCAAACCUGAUUCUACCAUCGGAAAGGAAAUGGACCCUGGCUCUUAUAUCAAGGUCAAAUGUGUAGCAUCUGGUACUCGCUGGCAAAGGUGACACAUUUGUUCACUUAAAGGUUUUUUAAAAUAUAAUGUAUUCUAUCUGCGUGUUUGGUUAUACACGUUCACUUCAUAACCUUGACUGCAGUGAGGUGAUCAAGGGAUUAGUCUUCAAGAAGAACACUGCUCAUAAGCACAUGCCGACCAGUUGUCACAAUCCUAGGCUGCUACUACUGGAAGGAGUCCUGGGGCACUCUGAUGUUGGUUUAUCAUCGUUUAAUUCAAUGAAUCAGGUUGGUCCUUUCAUAUACAUAUGCACAUUGAAUUGUUUAUAGUAAACGCCGUUUAUUUUUGUUGGAUAGAAGAUUAAGACAUCUGUUCCGUGCCUUUAACAAUUAGGAAAAGGACCAUCUGGAGAGGACUAUAAGUAAGGUGAUUGAUAUAUGCAGUCCCAAUGUUAUCAUGGUUGAGAAAACUGUUUCACGAGACAUACAAGAACUUCUAUUAAGACAAGGGUGUACACUAAUUCUUGAUAUGAAGCUCAGCCGGUUGCAAAGAAUUGCACGCUGUACGGGUUCUCCUAUAAUAUCAUUUCCAGAAGUUCUGGAUAAACCGAAGCUGAAGCAGUGUGACUACUUCCAUAUUGAAAAAUUCAUUGAAGAACACAACGAUGCCAGUGAAGGUGGGAAAAGACUGUCUAAAACAUUAAUGUUCUUGGAAGGAUUUCCCAGGCCAUUGGGUUGCACGGUAUGUCUACCUAACUAGUAUUACAUGUAUGAUGCAUUUUAUACAUUUUCAGUUCCAUUCUUAUUUUUUCCCUAAGAUUGUUUAUUUUCCUCCAAAAGCAAAAUAAAUAAACUAUGCCACGGAGUAUUUUUCCUAUGUCUUUUCUUCCCUGAAAUCUCCCCAACCAAAGCAUCCCUUUGUAUGGAAGUGAAAUCCAUAACCAGAAGUUGUUCCAGCUUACUGUGGACAUGUCUAUUACUUCGACCAGUUAUUACUUCUUAAUAGCUGGCUUGUAGACUGUAAUUAAACAUCUUCUCUAUUCGAGUGGUGUGUGGCCAUAAAAUUUUACGGUUUGACUAAUAAGGCAGAGAACCAAGGUGAUUACAACUUGGCAGGAGCUAGAUACACUUAUGGUGCUUUAAAGUAACAAACCUGGUUUUGUUUGUGGUGAGAUCCAUAGUAGUGGUAUGUGCUUUUAUCAAUUAUUACGAUGAGUGAAUACCAAUUGAUAGUGAUAUAUUCCUGCAUAUUAGUUACAUUCCACUGAACAAAUAGUAAGUGACAGACCAAAUUGUGUUUCAUGGAUUGUUAAAUUAUCUGAGUGACAAUGGUUCCUUUCUCAUCCAGAUACUGCUCCGUGGAGCAAAUACUGAAGAAUUGAAGAAAGUCAAGCAAGUCAUGCACUACACAGUCUUUGCAGCAUACCACUUGAUCCUCGAAACGUCUUUCUUUGAAGAUCAGCGGGUAUUCUUAAAUGAUAAAAAUGUUUCCAAAGAAAAUUAUGUCACCGCUAUGGUAGGGCCUUCAGCAAUUGGUGAUGAUACGGCUGUUCUGGGUUGUGCCAUCCCUCCUUCACAUGAUGAUUCUCCAGCACUUAAAUUAUACCAUGCCACUUCUAAUAUCUAUGCGGAUGGGAAGAAAUCUCUCAGUUAUACAAAUGUAGAUGCUCCAGUUUCAAUAACAAACAGCUCUUUGGAUGAACUUGGAGAAGGUGCAAAUGUCCGGCAUAGCUCAACAUCACCCCUUCACACUGGAAGGCUACCACCACCAGUAUCAGGACCAUUAAGAAAAUUUGCUGACAAGUUACAUCGUCAUAAUAUUUAUUUACCUGUCACAUCAUUCCAAGAAACAACUGAUAAUAAAAUAGAAGGCAGGGUUGAAUCUAGGAAAGAGAUGGUUAGUAAUGGAUUUCAUGUUGGGUCAAAGGUGGAAGAGUCUGCAGCUUCCAGUGAAAUUUUGGAUGACACGAAAGAUCUCUUAAAACAAGAAAGGAUCCAAGAAGUAAUGCCAUCAGGUUCUUCUGGGCAUGGCAAACAUGAGGAAUCAUCCGCUAUGGCUGAAGAUGGGGAACAUCACAGCACCAGUAUCAUCAGCAAUGGGAACAUUUCUAACGAAGAUCAAGCCGAUGAUGCACUUGAUUCUGACAGUAUACUGAUUUUGAUGUCUAGCCAAUGCAUCACAAAGCAGAUUAUAUGUCUCCCGAGCCAACUGUGCCGUAUAAAAUACUACGGGAACUUUGAUUUGUCCUUGGGGCGAUAUUUGCAAGACAUUUUGCAGAAUCAGGUAACAACAGUUUACCACUUCUUCGUUUGUUCACACAUUGUUCUUAUUUACACUGAAUAUUAUAUUUUUGUGCUAGUAAUGUACAUUUUAUUUCGGCUCCAUUGAUACUCUUUUUUGCGAUGUUAUUUGGCUCACUAAUAUUUAUUCGUACUAGAAAGCAAGCUGCUCAUCUUGUCAAGAGCCUCCAGAGGCUCACAUAUAUUCUUACACUCAUCAAAAUGGGAAUUUGACUGUUCAAUCAAAGAAUUUGGUGUCCCAACAUCGCUUACCUGGCGAAUCCGAAGGAAAAAUAUGGAUGUGGACUAGAUGCUUGAGAUGUGAACAUGAACAUGGGACAUCUAAAUCGACUCCUAGAGUGUUAAUAUCAUCUGAAGCGCGCAAUCUCUCUUUUGGGAAAUUCCUGGAACUCAGUUUUUCAAGUCACUCCGCAGCGAGAAGGCUAUCCAUAUGUGGGCAUUUGGUGAACAGGGACUGCUUGCGUUUUUUUGGGUACGCUCGAUGUACUUUUCACAUCAAACAAAAUUAUUUUUUGGCUGCCUUUAGAUGUAACUAUUUCUUUAAUGAUAAUUUCUUUUUCUUACUGACUUCAGGUUGGGCUCCAAAGUUGCAAUGUUCCGCUACUCCUCAGUAGAAAUUUACACUACCUGCAAACCACCACCCACCCUCCACUUCGACAACCCUAGCAGACAGAAUUGGUUUGAAAAAGAGAGGAUACAUGUAUGUCUUAAUACUCUCUACCAUUACCAUCUCAUAGUUGUCUCCAGUACAUGCAUAGUAAUACUUUUUUUUUUGCACUUUCAAAGAUUCUUGCUAGAGGUAUGAAACUUUUUUCUGAGGUAGCAACCUUGCUACAACUCUUGAAGAAUCAGCAUCAUGAUGUGACAGCAACCAGUUGUGGCACAUUUGACCCUGUUAAGGACUUCUCUGAACUCGAAGAGUUGUUGAUGAAAGAAAAGGCCGAUUUUGAGGUAGGCAUCCUUGUCUUAAUUUCUUUUAGACUGGAACUUUGUAUGCCAAUGAAUUUGUUAUGUUUAAUUUAUAUUUAUGGGUUACUAUCUUUAUUUUUAUGCAGGAUUCAUUAGUAAAGACAAUCAACCAAAAUGGGAGAUCAUCCUCAUCUGUGCAUGAGCUUCUUAAUAUAAAUUGGUCUUACCAGGAUGUUCUACUUGAACUUUAUGUAUGGGACCGUCGGCUCGACGAACUUUCUAUGUGUAAAUCUGCUGGGCAAGGGAGUGUUGGUAAUAGCAAUAAUCCUAGCGGAACUGCAGACAAGAUUUCUGGGGCCAACUACGAGAUUGACAAGAAAAUUGGUGAACUGACGUGUGAUAGAACUAUGACAGCUGUGAGGUCAGAUGGUACCACUGAUUGCACUGAUUGCACAAGUAACAAUAUUCCCAUUGACCAUCAAUCUGGUGAGACCGCAGCACACUUGCUUGAUGAUAGUCAGGGAGCUGGCAACUCUGAACCUUCUUGCAGUGAAGGUAGUAAAGAUGAAGGAUCUCGAUCUCUCAUUGCUCCUGAUCAAGUAGAGGUAGAGAGCACGCCACAAAACCAAAAAGUACCUUCACUUGAAGUUUCAAGUCAUACAGAGGUCCAGGGUAACGGGGUAGUUGCACAUCCAGUUUCCAAGGAACAAGAGCCUUCAAGCACUCUCCAGAAGUUCAGAAGUACUGAUUGGGAUGACAGUGAUAGAUGGAUUUGGAGUUCAUUUUGUGAGUCUCAACUGGCUUACAGGAAGGACAUUCAAAUGGGAUGUUUGGAGAAAUUUUAUCUUGUUAACCAUUACUCCCCAUCUCACCUCUCCCCCUUGUUUGAAAAACAUGAGGAGGUGGACACUCCUCAGUUCACAGUUGGCCCCGGUGGUAAUAUUUUAUGUGUAUUGGAGCAUGAGGUAUCUAGUAUAAUAGCUCGUGCUCUCGCCAUAUCUGAGGAACGUAGGCAGGAUACCAUAGUCGAGAACGAGACGGGGGAGGGCAGGGUGGAGCAUGGUAAAACGAUGGAGAAAUCCUAUAGCUUUUUCUCUGAAGGUUCUUUUAGCUCGUCACCAUGGUCAUCUAUUGGAUCAUUAGAUUCUGAAGCAAGCUUUUCAUCUUCUAUUUCGUCAUAUCCAUCUGACGACCUCUCUGGUUAUGAUACCUUGCCUUUAUUGUCCUUGGUACACCCAGAAAUCACUGUGAACGGAAAAGUAACUCUCAGAGGCAAAUAUUCGGUUACUAGUAUAUAUUCGAACCAAUUCUACCUUCUUCGAAAGAAGUGCUGCCCAUCUGAGCUUGCAUAUAUUACUUCCUUAAGCCGCUGUAAGAAGUGGGACGCUCAAGGUGGAAAGAGUAAGGCUUUAUUUGCAAAGACAUUGGAUGACAGGUUCAUCAUAAAGCAAAUCAAGAAAACAGAGUUUGAGUCCUUCAUAACAUUUGCCCCUGAUUACUUCAAGCAUGCUUACCAUUCUCUAGACACUGGCAGCCAAACUUGCCUUGCCAAAAUAUUAGGAAUCUAUCAGGUAGGUUUUUUUGACAACUGAUUUCUAUUCGAUUUAUUUCCUGACUUCUAUUGGGUUUUCAUAUGACUUGUUGUUUCAGGUCAAGCAAAUAAGGCAUGGCAAAGAGAUCAAAAUGGAUCUGAUGGUGAUGGAAAAUCUCAUGUUUGGGCACAAUAUUUCACGAAUUUAUGACCUUAAAGGUGCUAUUUUUUCACGACACAUCGCCAAAUCAAAUGACCCUGACACUGUUUACUUGGAUCAAAACUAUGUUGAGGACAUGCGUGUAUCUCCGAUCUAUAUUGGUGGAAGAACGAAGCAUCUUUUGCAGCGUGCAAUCUGGAAUGACACAUCAUUCCUCACUGUAUGUAUAAUGCAUAUCCUAUAUCUGCAGAUAAUCAUGUUUUCAAAUAAAUAUAUGUCCUAACAAAAUUAUUGUACUUGCAGUCAGUUAACGUUAUGGACUAUUCUCUGCUUGUGGGAGUGGACAAAGAAAAGAAUGAACUUGUGUUUGGCAUCAUUGAUUAUUUGAGGCAAUAUACUUGGGACAAACAGCUGGAGACAUGGGUCAAGAGUUCUUUGGUUCGAAAAAAUGUUUCACCGACUGUAAUUUCACCCAAGGAUUACAAGAAAAGGUUUAGAAAGUUCAUGGCCAAGUACUUCCUCACAGUUCCGGAUACUUGGAGUCCCGAGAAUUCUUCUGGGCCAUACAAAUCCUUUGGCCAUAGCAAUAGCAAGUUGGUAGAAGCCGAUAAUGAUGACAACCUGCUUCAGCAUCCAAUUGAAGCUGAGGCAUGUGUCUAGUUCUGUUCAGGCUGGCAUGUGUCUAGGCUAUUCAGGACUCCUCUGACAGUGCUGUUGAAGCCUAUCCAGUCGUCGUCGUUGUUGUUUCUUUGGCUUGUUUUCGCUUUGUAAAAUUGUGUACAUAUGAGGGCCUCACAAUUGACCUUUCCAGAAGUUUGCACCUUUUAGGCAGAUUACUGGGCAAGUGAGGCCCACAGUACAUGUACCUAUACAAAUGUAAAUUGUUGAUUUCACAAUUAUUAUAGUGAAAUUUACAAAAUUGGUAUGAUUUUUUUGGGAUCUACUAGGCUGAAGCCUUUUCUACUUGCUUAAUUAUUUCUUAUAAUGCCUGACACGGCUAACCGUCCAUGUUGGACUUCUGAUCUCUGUUCAAAUUUGAUCAGUUUGAUCCGUAUUUGACUUUCAUUACUCCGCUAUAGUUACAUUCAUGGAAAUGGCCAAUUUAAUGCCUCUUGAUCUUACUGCACACCUUAUGAAGAACAUUUUGUUGUCAGAUGGACAUUGUCUAUUUUGUUGUGUGCACCCAGUCACUACAAUUUUGCAGAUCUGCUGGUAUGAUAUGUACUGCUUACUUUCUUUCAUCAAUCAGUUCCACGUAUUAUUUAAAAUGAGUGAAAUCAAGUUAAACUUGUUUGUUCCAAGUUUGUUCCUUGAAUUUUGUUGUAAUAUGUGUUUAUGCCCCAAUCUCUCUUAUGAUAUCAAGAAACAGAAUAUAAUUUGAUUCCUGUUUGUUUUCAGGAAAUAACUCACUGGGGAGGACACCACUCUUUAUAAGUCCUGCAUCACAUAGUAGCUGCCUGGUGACAUGCCUCAUCUAUGCAGUUGGUCUAUGACUCUAUGUUCUAUACUUUAUUGCUAUAUAACACUUGAUAUUUUAUAUUCUCAGCUUUGACGAGGCAAAUUGUUAGUAGAUCCUAAAAUUAACUAUUUAUUUAAUUUACACAGUACACACUUUGCUGAUAAGGGAUGCUCCAAAGUAAUGCUCCAGUUCCUUUUCUAGAACCACUGGUUAUUUAAAUUGGUGCAUUUUCAGGAGAAUUAUCUAGCAUCCUGUAAUGCAAUUUCUGAUUGAUCAGAUAAUUGAUGGAAAGAACUUUCUGUGUAUUCACUUAGCAGUCUGGCUGAUACUUAACAUCUACUAGUGUGUGCAAUCCAUAGUCUGGACCAUGAACAUCGGCAGGAAGGGAUUCCUGCAAAUGAACAUGUGAGACCUCGGUGAGUUAGUUCAUUUUAAGCUUUCUUAUUUUCUACCCUUGCAAAACUUUGUUGACUAAUCCACAUAACCCUUUGUUGAACUUUAUAGUGCGUAGCACAUUUUUCUGCAGCUAUAAUCUUAUCAUACUAUCUUAUAAAAAUUCCUGAUGAAUGUUAAACAUGUGUUUUUAUCAUUUGGCUGCAUUGGUGGAAUGGUAGAUAGUAACAGUAUACAUUUCCAAGAAAUGUGGUAUUUGAAUAUAGUCCCAUUGAUCUUCCCAAAGAGUUGCAGUGUGUGCGUGCUUCUUUCCGAGAGUCCUAUAUUUGCAUUUAUUUUUCACUGAUUGUUUCAGUGAGUAUGAAACUAUGAAUUCAUAUGCAGUGUCGCUUGUGAAGUUGGCUUUGCAGCAUUUAUCUCAAGACAUUCCUUUUUCCCUGUCAUUUUAUUACUAACGCCGUCCAAACAUAACGAGCACAAUGCAAAACCACCUUCGCCCACUUUUCCAAUUGGAGUUGCUAUUUGUGUCUUAAUACAAUUCUUUUUUUGCUUCCAAAAUGGCACAUAUACUGUUGUUAUAUAUGUGUGUGUUCAUGCUAAACUUUCUAGCUCAUGCCUUGUGAUCAGGAGAUUAUGUGUUGUCACAAUGUGCUUGAGAGACAUUCUUGGGCAUGUCGUGCCACUUGCAUCUUUGUUUUCAUGACUGAUGAAUACACUGGGUUACGUGACAGAUGAACUCAUGUUAGUUUUUCGAGCAGAGUCUACCUCUUGCUCAUUUGCGAGCAGUACUGAUUUGAAUAAAUGAUAGUACAGUACCUCAGAAGUCAGAGCACUGCUUGGAACAGGCGGUAAUUUGCUUCAACUGUAAUCUACACAUAUAGUCACAUCCGCUGAAUCUUACAUAGUUAACUUUUAAACAUGAAUAUAAGAAAUUGUUGACACUUCCUUCCCUAUAGUAGCAAGAGGCAGUAGUCUGCUAUUGUACCAAUCAUCAGUCAAGGAGGUAAUCCACAAGAAUGGGGUUGGCAUGCAUCUCUUUUCUCCUUUUCACUUUUGCAGGAGGGCAUCAAAUACAUUGGCAGUAAGAGUAUGACCAGAGGGAGGACUUUUAGAUCAUUGCAGAGUGGCUCAUCAUGAUUGCGUGGAUUCUAUGCAAGUCUUGUCAUUGAGAGGGAGGUUACAAAAGGAUUGUCUGGAGAAGGUGAUAAUCUGUGUAAUGAUGCUGAUCCUAACAUCACUGAUUCAUAUAGAUUGGCACACCAUAUUUUUUUUGAAAGAGAGAGAUUGGCUCACUAUAUUUUGAAUUCUGGAUUUAGGAUUGUAAUAAGGAAUGAGUUUUCUCUCGUACAUCUUUGAGAUUUCAUUAAUCAUUUUUUUUUGCAGUGCUACUCUCAGUCUGUUUGAAGUUCCCAUUAACUGCCGAUUUUGAACAGUAAGCAUUCAUCCUAGGUGCUAAUUUUAUUACACUGCACUGCAAACUCUUUCAAUAGCUCUUUCAAUAGCUGAAUGCUUUGUAGGAAUAAUGUCGCAUUAGAUUUUUCUCAUUUCAUUUUUGAAUUUUUUUUGUUUAGUAGCUAAUGAUGAAUUGAUCAAAUCUGAAGAGAGAACUGUGGCAUGGCACUGAUGUUUUCUUGGUUGCAGAUCCUGCUUUAGCAAAAAGCAGUUGGUGUCGCCAUUUCAGUAUAAGGGAUUCGAUUUGGUCGAUUUAUGCUCAGCUUUUUCCUGGUACUGGCAGAAGCUGCCUGAACCCCAAAGUAUGGAGCAUGGAUUAUGCUGCUGCUUACCAUCAUUUCUCUACUGUAUAACCCUGUAAAGCAGCUCAAAUCAAUCAAUUUUGCAUUGCAGCAGUUGAGGGCAUUCUCCUUUUUCCUGGAACCGAUGCCUUCGAGUUCAAGGUGAUCAUCAUGUCCCAAUUCCAGAAGGCGAUCUCAUGAUUCUACAACCAAAACGAUGACUGCUGUCGGAGAUCAUAUGGAGAAUCAUGUCAGGUAACUCGUUUUUUUUUUCAAAGCCACACUAAGGUGUGUAUUGUCCCUAAUUCCUUGCCUUGUCAUCUUCUCUAUUUGUAGUAAAAUAAUCAAUCUUUACUCUGCCAGUCGCCAUGGCAACUAGUGGAGUGAUCAAUGAUAAGGAAGGUGAUUAGCCUACCACCAAAGAACAAAAAGAAGACGCAAAAGAUGACAAGCACAAGAGUUCAUUUUAACACCCCUAGUUGCACCCUUUUUGUCUCUGUCCAACAAGCUGCCCACAUCUCCACAGCACUUUUCCAGUUACAGAAAAGGGCAAAGAGUCGCUUCCCUUUUCCAAUGCAGAUUCUUCCUUUCACUAUCAACCAUUAUAUCAUUCAUCCAUGGAAGAAACUCCGCCUAGAUCAAUGCAUUAAAAAUUACUACACAUAUUCUGAUUCUGAUGCUCAUAAUAGGUAGGCCUAAGCACAAACUGCCUGCCAUCACCAUUGCUGCUUAAAGAAGACACGAUGCAAAGAUGAUAGACACACACACUAGCUGGCUAGCUGCUAUGGUAGCUAGAGAGAGUAGCUAGAUUACCCAAUCACAAAAGCAAAAAACACCUACAUUUUUCUUAAAAUUGUUAGCCUAGUUGUACUAUCUACCAUGCCCUGUUUGUUUCUGCUAAUAGCUGCUGCAAACUCCGAUCAGCUUCAGCGAUGGCUGCACAGGUCAGACAGCAUCUUCCUGCCUUCCACAAUCUCAUCAAAGAAGUCAUCCAGUUCGCCGACGACACUCUCCGCACCUGACUGCAGCACCCCAACCCAGCCUUUGAUGAUCUCCACCCUCUCGGCGAUCUCACCGGGGUCGGCAUACCCUGUGGCGAUGACCCUGUCGAACUCUGCCUUGAGGCUCUCGAUGCCGGCCCUGGCCUGCCGGAACUCGUACAUCAUGACGCCAGAGCCAGAGUGCUGCCCGGCUACUGCCUCCAUCUCCUCGGCGACGCGCUGGCGCAGGCGCCCCAUGGAGGAGACGUAGCCAGCACCCGUGGCACGGAACAUGGGCGCACAGCCAAGGUCCGGGAGGCAGGAGACCGUCCCAGAGAUGAGGAUCAUGAGGAGGAAGGAGCUGGCGUUGCGCAGCGCGUAGAGCACGCCCCGGAAACCGUUGAAGGCGUUGAGCUUGAACUCCACGGGCGACCGGUCGUCGAGCAGCAGCGACGCUGGGUCGAUCCUAGCCUCCGCAAGCGCCCGGUUCUCCUGCUCCAGCCCAACAGCCUGCCGCCUUGGCGCGUUGAUCGCACGCAUCACCUGCCAGCCAGUAGGUGUCAAUGAUGUGAUCAGAAUCAGAUAUAUUCAGAUCAAUAGAGGCAGGGGGGGAUCGUCGAUCGGACUGUACCUGACGGGCUGUGUGUGGGUUGGGGCUGCAGAGCCAGUCGUCGAAGGCGGCAUCGAUGCGGGUGGCGGAAGCGCAGUAGGUGUCCAGCGCGGUGGCGCCGGCCUUGACGACCUGGCAGGCCUCCCAUAGCCGGGAGGUCUCGUCCAUGUACUCGUCCAGCCAGCUCUCACCGGGCGGCAGGUGGAGCCGCUGCACCAGGUGGACGAGCUGCGAAUGCAGGGACCGGAGCAGCGCCGCUGCCUGUUGGAGGAACGGCGCCGACACGAACGCGCCCUCCGGCGACGAUGACGAGGCGGCCAGCGUGCCGUGGAGUUCGUCCAGGCCGUGCGCGAUGGAGGAGUAGAAUCCGUUCAUGGCGACUCUAUUUGUUGUAUAACUGGGAGCAGCAGAGCAGAGCAAAGAUCGAGAUGAGAAGAGAGUGUGGUGCAUGGGAGUGGAGGCUCUGCGCUGAGCUGGAACAGAGACUCUCGGUCAGCUUAUAUAGAGGAAGACUAGAAGACUGGACUUAGAGUGAGGGCAGUGAGUUGUACUAUGGGGAAGCAAUGAUGGUUUGUCCGGCGGUCAGGGGGAAGGAUGAUUGGGGACUGGGCUGGGCAGCCAUUGCCAGGACUCCUGUAUGUGCUCCUCCUCUUCAUGACCAUUCUAAUGGCAUUGCCAAUGCUUGAGAGCUAGUCCUACUAGCAUGCAAUGGAAUGCAUGGGAAAAUGUACUUACUCAGCCUAGCUAGCUGCCACAGCCAUUUUAAUUUCCCCAUGAAUAUCCCACCAGUUAAUUUCCCCAUGAAUAUCCCCCCACUCCAGUACUCCUACUCCAAUUCUUGUCUUGAGUUGCAUACUGCUGGUCCAGAUUCAAGGGUAGGGACCAUUUGCCAUUGACAGUGUACUACUGGCGAUUGAUUAUGAAGUUGUUGGUGCUAAUCAAGGACUCACUAGUGCUACUACUACUUGAGCAGACAGCUGUCAUCUGCUGCUGCUGCUGCUUUCCAUAUUCUGAAUCCGGGUGGGAGGGAGGAAAAAGGAGGGGGGCCAAUGUGCCGGGCCUCUGCUGGGAGCACCAUCAAUAAGCAGCAAGGAAGCAAAGAGAAGCAAGCGCUGGCUGCACUGCACUCCCCUGUCUGGCCUUCCCAAUGCACUCAGCCACCUGUUAGUCCAGAAAGGAAACAUUUUUCCUGGAUACAUGAACUCUAUGGAGUAUAUUGACCAUUGCAGCCACUGUGGGUACUUCUUUGCAACAACAUAUAUAUAUAUAUAUAUAUAUAUAUAUAUAUAUAUAUAUAUAUAUAUAUAUAUAUAUAAUAUAUAUAGUAUGGCAGCUAGCUGCAAGCAAAUGUGUUUGUUUUCUUGUUCUUUUUUCUUUUGUGCAGGCCUGAAGAGGAGCUAGCUUCUUCUUCUUCGAGAUGCAUGGGAUGCGUUGCUGCAUGAGCCAAUAGGAGCAGAGGAGUAUGAGGACAAAGUUUCAAAGGUGGCAGGGAGUCCUAGAGAUGUGUCGACAAGGUGAGCUGUACUCUACUGCUUACUUGCCCGUGGAUUAGUGGGGCACUUAAUUUAAUUUGCUUGAAUUGAUGUUAGGAGGAAUGAUGGGUUUCCUUGUACCCGUACAAAUCUCUCAGUCCGCGGCCAACACAACCCCCAUGCUUCCAUGCAAUGCAAUGCCAAUGCAAUGGCUUGGCCGCCUUUUGAGGUCCUUCUCCCUCUCGCCCGGGCCUCCAGUCCGGCAAUCAUGCCCAAUAUAUGCUCUCGUGCCCCCUUCUUCUUCCUCUCCAUUAUGACUACUCCGUUUCUCUAGGGCACACGUCGGGCCCCGCAUGUCGGUCAAGCCCUUGAGAAACUCAUGACAGUCUUAAUUCCAACACACAACUUCUACAAAAAAAAAAUGUUUCUAUUGUGAUGAUACUGUGUAAAUUAAGAAGACUACAAAUUAGUCUGGAUUGACAACAUUUCUAACAUAGUCUAUGUUGCUUGUAAAACAUGCAUGCUUGUAGUAUACUAGUACUGCAUAUAUGCGGUGGCUUCAUUAUAGUAUUAGGAUUGUCUUUUUGGUCCAAUCCAAUUCAAACACCACAGCUUCAUCGGUGCAUGCAAUCCAUCUCGUGGCAAGUGCUAAACCCUUUUAAGAAAUGGAGCUCGUGGGGUUUUGGGAGGAGGCGAGGGGGAUGUGGAUUUGGUUGGGGAAAUCAAAGGGGAUGUGUGUUGUUUCCUUUGCCCUAACCAAGAACAAAGAUUAAUUAAGCUAAAUCUUACUCCAUGAUCCAUGCAUCAGCUAGGAGCUACCUUUGAAAUACUACUACUACUUGGCCAGCCGUGCCGUACAUGCUGCGUGGUUGACCGGUGGGGGUCCAAGCACCACUCAUCGGCCGGCCAUGAAUAUUCUUCUUGUCCUCUUCCUGCUCUCUCUCUCCAGUCCUAUAAUCCAUGCAUUCAUCUCACUAUGUAUAUAUAGGCUCAUUGCAAAUUAAACAGAUCAUAAAAAGCAAAGAUCAUCUGUUUUUUUUAUUUAGAUCAAGACGGUUCGACUCCCAUAAUUGAAUUAGAUGAAAAGACCAUCUGCUAAACGUUUGCCAAACAGAAGAACAUACAGUUCAUAUGCAAAACACUUUUAUUGUCGGAAAAAGCACAUUUUUUUGGUGUGUGUUCUAUCUAAUCAACUCUCUGUGUCUUAUGUGUUAUAUACUAUCUAAGUAAACUGUUUCCUGCAAAUUUUUCCGUGGCGCGGUCUCUAUUCCGCAUCCGCAAUAUAUCCUCUCAAUUUCUUCACAUAUAAAUUUCCAUGAAUUAAUUUGGUUUUCAUAGCAACGAGAUCCAAAAGGGCAUUAAUUAUCUGCCUGCCUGCCACAGUAAUUUUACUUCUUGGAUAUACACACAUAUAUAGUACACUUACUAUUGGCGACCUUGUCCUGGACGCAUAACUCCAUUGUUUGCUCGAACUUGUAAAACAGGUGGUCACGGAUAUAUCUACGUGGCACACGUAUGCAUGUCUAGUCCAAAUUAGCAUAUGGGUUGGCGGCAACAGCAUGCAUACAUGAAAGCAGCAACGGCUAGCUUUUAAUUUAGCAUGUCUGGUCAGUCACACACACACACACACACACACACACACACUAAUUUUCUCUCUUCUUUUUUCAAAAUUUGUACAGACAUUAUUAUGAAAAUUAGCAGUACUACACUGCCAGUACAGAGUACUACUGCUACUGCUAGGUCUCAUGAUCAAAGUUGCUAGCUUAGCUAGGUGUGCUGUAGAGCUGUAGGAGUGUAGUAGUAGCUUGCAAUGGUGUGGCUGCUGGCUUGACCAGAACUUUGAAAAAUGCAUGCAAUGCAUCUAUGCUUGGACAGCAGCAGUCUACUACUACAAGUACUUAUCACUCUACAUACAGUACACAGAACAGAGAUCAAAGUUGCUGCUGCUGUUGUUCUUCUGAAGCAGCAGCCAUGCAUGCAUAAGGCUGACAGACGGUGGUGUUCUGUAUUAUAGCGUAGCUGGUUCUCGUUUGAUUACUGCUGUCAAGAGAACCCCGUGCGAUGCUACGGAACAACGGAAAGUGUAUCAAGCACGAGCCGGUGGAGGCGAAGUCUGGACAUUGAUCAACCGGCGCUCCCCUUUGAGUUGAGAUCUGCAGGCGCCUCCUCAGCCUCGUCAACGACGGUGUGGUUCUCGCUUCCCAGCAGGGGUGGAGAUCUCCAGCGGGCUUCUGCUUCCCUGUCUCCGUCACGCCUUGUAUCCUCGAUGGGGGUCUCUGGGUCGGUGGUCAGGGGCCGGACGAAAUCCCUGCCCGGCUGCGUCCGGUGCCAACGACGGCGACGCCUACGGGCGCCUUUACCUCCUUGGAGGCGUGGUCGUGGCCCCUGACCAUUCCUUCUCCAUCCUCGGGCUCCAGGGGAAACCCUUGGUUCGGUUUGCCAUGGCUCCGAAUCAGGCAGCAGCAGCGACACCUUGGCAUCGUAUCCUCCUUGGAGGCACUGCUUUGGUAGCCCGUGGGAGUUCGAGUGUCGUGGCAUGAGAUGGCAGCCUCUCUAUUCUUGGCGGCGAGGCUUGGUGGUAGCGCGAAGCCGGUGUUGAUCCUCUGCUCUGGGCGUUGGACUUCAAGGCGCGAUGUUCGUCACUAUCGGUUCCCUAGAUGAUGCAUCCUUCCCAAUUCAGUCUGGUCCAUUCCUCUACUUGCCGACCGGGGCUUGAUCUGCUUCCAGAUUGGCCUCCCUUCUUAGGCGUAUUGUUGGGGGUUGGCCAGGGUGGUCUUGGUGUCAUGGUCGCAGAUUUGGGUGUCCUGCAGCUAUCGUGAAGCGGCCUUCAAGGUCUUGUGCUCUGCCUUCUUUGCCCUAGGGCUGGAGGUGGGCAAGGCGAGUCUCAUGUCAUUGUGGUUUGAAGCUUGGUGGUGUCUCUUUAACCUGCUCUGACCCCAAGUUGGCUCAAGAUCUGUUGGCUGUAGGUCUAGGCUAGCUAGGGCUCCGUCUUAGGUCGUCCGGAGAGGACGGUCAUGUUUUUUCUUGCUUGGCCUCGCCGUUGGCGGGUGCGGUGCAUAUGUUGUAAAUCUUGUAACUUUUGGUUACUCACGCUUCUUUGCGCUUUCUUCUUAAUGAAAAUGACAUGCUUCCAGGCGUGUUCGAGAAAAAAAAAUUAGAGUCUGUUUUGAGGAACAAAUUGGCAGUUAAAUGCUUGAAGUUCAGUUCAGUUUGCUGCUGGAAUAAAGAAGAAACAACAAUUUUGAAUUGCGAUGAGAUCUAUCGAAGAACACAGCUAGCUCAUAUAUAAUGCUCUCCAUGGAAUUUGGGGUGAAAAAGGGAAGGAAAGAAGAGGAAAGCUGAAAAGAGGCAACUAAAGGAGAUGCUAGUCAAGUGUUCUCCAAAUUUUGUGUUGAAUGGCGGCUAUAUUCAUGAGUAGCAGCAAGUAGCCUAACUAGUCAAGUGUCCUUGCUGUGAUGAAUUGAAGCAGGCAGGGCAGAGCAGAGCUGUGUGUCCUCCUAGAAGCUAUAGCUAGACCUGAAGAAAGUGCAUAUCCUCCUCUAUCACUUUUCUCACCGCCAAGUUGUAAAGGGGAGAAAGACAUGCAUGGAAACUGCAAAGUUGCCUCGCUUUUACAAACCAUUGCCUUUUUGCAGGAUCUGAUCUCUAUUUCCUUUCCUGUUACCUCUCCAUGCAGCUGCUAUGCUGCUAUAGUAGCGUAUGAUCUUGGCCAUCCAUGCAUUUCUCCGUCUUGUAGCUCGGCUCGGCUGCCUAAUUGCUGGCUAUGUUGGUUGCUUUCUGGAGACAGAGAGGGAGAAUAUGCUCCAUGUUGUCCAAAAGGGAAACGCAAAAUCAAUUGCAUCCACGGUGGUUCGUUUCUUUCCUUCUCCACACUGUCUUUCUGUCUUCUUUUCUUUCUCUCUUACGUUUGUAUUUCUGAAUGAAUUGGUUGUGGUUUUACAUGUAUGUUGAUUUUUGUUUUAAAGCGUUUGCACCAACAUAUAAUACAGGCAGUUUUUUUUACAGUGCAAGAAAAGGAGAAGGACAGAAAUGAAGGGAAGCUGUAUAACUUUAACACAGCUGCUAUACAACUAUACAAGAGAAGAAGCAGAGACUCUGACAUUGAACUUGAUCAUGGGCCAUUUGGAAUAUGCUCUGACAUGGAGGUGGUAAACAAGCUCAAUCGGUUUAUCAAAAACCAGCAAGGUACAAGCAAGGGUCCAGACACUGAAGAACUGAACAAAAAGCAAGAUAAACCAGGCGAGAGAACCGCCCAGCAAAGUUGCAGACGCUAAACUAUCAGAACAACUACAAGAGUCACAAAACAUCACGAUAAGAAACAGAAAGGCUCAUUUGUGUACUAAGAUGAUAUAACUUUGCAAUAAAAUUGGCUGUGCGCAUCGUUUCAUCGUUUCGAUGCAGAGGCCGGGAAGAACCCCUUUUCGAAAAAAAACGGUUCGUCCUUUUCCAAUGAGCGUUCUCUAGCAUGAAUUCGAAUGUAAUUCGUGCACGUAAAUGAGUGGAAAAAAGAAUGCUGUUGCAAGGGGUUGGAUCAUACUGUCUAGGAGAUCUUAUCUAAUGACAUACAAACAGGAGGCGCUCGUGGCCUAAUGGAUAAGGCAUUUGACUUCUAAUCAAAGGAUUGUGGGUUCGAGUCCCACCGAGCGUGUUCUUUUUUCUUAAAUUUUUUUCAUUCAUUAUGCUUCCCAUUGAAACUUAUUUUCUUCAGCGCAUGCUAUUCAUAAGUCGUCUAAAAAGGAAUUUUUUUUUGUGCCAAAUUUUAGCAGUAAUCUUGUUGUAGCAUCGGCAACCCCAAUCAUGAAAAUAUAAAUUCAUAGAAGUGCCAGCAUAAGAUAAGAUGCUAUUAAUUUGUCCAGCAACUGAACACAGACGCUAGAAAAAUUCAGAUCAGGAUUCCAAGAACAAUAAACUGGGUGCAGCGACCAGCAUUAAAGCUUAAAGCAAUAGGGAUUGUAAUCCAGGGGUCAUCAAACAUAGUAGCAUUGUCACUGACACCAAAAAGAAUGUAUAUAUGCUGGAGCCUUUCUCUAUGCCAAAAUGCUGUUUAUUAAUUGUCUCUAUGAUUGUCAACAGCUAGGGACUAUGCAUUGUAUUGCUUCCUAGAUCUUCUCUUGCUUUUCGCCUACGAGGGGGAGCAUCUCCAUCCGGCUUCUCGGGGUCCGCGGGCUCAGGGUGGCGCCUUGCUGGGAGAUGAGAUGCCUCACGUAGCCGUAGAAGGUGCAGCCGACGAGCGUGAUCCCGCACCCGACCGCGUUCAUGGCGGAGAUCGGGUUCCGGAAGAUCAUCCAGGAGAUAAGCACCGCAGCAGCUACCUACACAGACCCAUCAUGGUACCAUCAGUUUCCCAAUGCUGAACUUUGUUUGUUGGACUGAAGAAGCAGAGUGAAGAGGAAUGGGGAUAUCAGUGCUCUCACCUUGAGGUUGCCGGCCACGUUGAAGGUCACGGCGGUCGUCGAAUGGAUGACGUAGAAGAUGGAGAAGUUGAGGCAGAAGGCGAGAAUUCCUGAGGUGAUUAUGAUGAUCAGUGCAGGGACAGUUGACUCGUAUGUGUAUAGCCAGUUGAUCACGCCGCCCCCUUCGAGUACAAUCGCUGGUACUGACAGUAUCAUGGUGGCAAAGGGUGCCAUGUAGUACACCGUGUUAAUGCUGCAGAGAGAAAAAAGGAACAGAAAACACAGGUAACCAAGAGGAAAAAUAUGCAAUAUCGUAAUUGAUCGUGUAGGUACUAUGAAAAUAUGAAGAAAUUCUACAUAGCAUGAUGACAACAGAAGCGCUAUUACAUUAUCCAUGAAUAACUCUGUUAAGAACUAUUGUGAAUUAUCAGAUGACAAGAACUACUUCCCCUUUUAUUUUUACUUUUUCUUGUUGUGAAGCUCAAACAGAUGCUAUAAGAUCAUUUCCUCUGUAAACUGACUGGAUCACUGUUUACCUGUCAAAUUUGUAUCCAUGGAGUAGGGAUUCUGCCAAGAUGGUCUUUGUAGACGUGGCGAGGCAGCCAACCAUGGCGGCACAAAAACCAAACAUGUUGAAGCUAAGCUCAGUUACUGAAGUCAAGAGGAUUCCCCCCACAAUAGGAACCAAUGAAGCCCAUAUGCGCCACUCAAAGUAUUUCCUCCAGACCAACCACUGCAGGAUAACUGUUCUACAACGAAUCAGAAAAUGACGCAACAGCAAGUGCGAAAAAGGCGUCGUCCUCGAAGAUGAACAAAUCAGAGAACCUGUCGUUGCAGGAGUGAAGGAUUUGAUAGUCUGCAUGAAGGAGACUGGGAUGUACCGCAGGCUGACAUUUCCCAGCACGAUGUUUAUGCAGAACACAAAUGACAUGGGGAAUAUCCUUUUCCAGCGAUCCUCGGGGGCAACCUCGAUCAGCGGUUUUAUCUUGAGCAUUUUGAUUGCGAUGUAAGCUCCGAUGGAAGAGCAUAUGAAGUGGACGCACGACACGGUCAGAGGAAAUUUGAACUCCAGUUUCUGCAUCCCAAGAAAAAAAAAAUCAAGUUCAUGCUUUUCUGCUGAGGAGGCUGCAAUAGUGCCACUGCCAUGAACUAAUUGUCAGUUUAAACUUGAAAGCAAAAAAAUGUUCAUUCCAAGAGAAAGAUGGUGGCAGAAGCCCAUGAGAAACAUCAGUCAUAUCGACUCUUCUACAUGUCAUUUGCGAUUAAGUAUGUUCUCAAAUAUUAUGGUACUAGUCCACAAAAACAUAUUAGCACAUAAUCAAUGUUAACUCCGAAGUCUGAACCUUGGGACAUUUUUCAGCUCACUAACGAAAUGGCUCCCAUCUCCAAUCCAUUUUGCGGAUUGUAAUCUACAUUAAAACCAAUAAUUACCAUCCCAAAUAUUUCCAAUCCUUCAUGUUUCUGAUUCUUCUUCCCACAAAUAUCUUCGUCUUAACUCCAAACCUAAUCCUUUUGUGGAGAAACCUAAUUCCAACAAUUUACAGCCAUGAAAAAGGACAAUCCCUUCAUAUUCCUAACAACAUGAUAAAUCAAAAGCCAGCUAAUCUGCUCCCCUGAUUGCGCAGAUCAACCCAUAAACAUGAACAAAUCCUCCGGAAGACGAGGAAAUCGAGAAUAUAUAUUGAAAGAAAAGUUGUAAGCAGAAUGGGACGGAGGGAGAAGAGCGGCCGCGAGACGGACCUGGAAGAUCCAUUUGUUCAUGAUGAUGACGGUGACGUUGAAGCACCACCAUUGGAGGAUGGCCAGCACCGCCCUCACCGUCGCCACGUUCCCCAUCUUCCCUUCCUCCAUAUGCAGCGCACAAAAACAACAAAGAUCCCCUGGAUUCAAUUCCAAUCCCACUAAAAAAGAAACGCCUUUAAUUUCUUCCAGCCGGAGUCCAGGAGAGAAGAAAAAGGCAGAAAGAGACAGAUGCUGGAACGGCUGGCGUAUUUAUGUGUAAUUAAUCAGUGGAAAACUCCUCUUGAUGAUCCAUUUGUGGAAGGCAGCAGGCUGGCUUCUAGAAGACCAUGGUGGUUCUUCUAGAAGGUUCCAGAAGCCGUCAAGGCGUCAGGAGAAGAGGAGGAGGAGGAGCUAGAGGGGUUUCGCUUUCGGUCGUAGGAUUUGCAGGUUGUGGUUUUUAGGUUGAGAGUUCGAUUGGUGUGAUUCUUGCCUCUCAUAAUACGUGUUGCCACUCUUCUUCUUCUUCUUCUUCUUCUUCCUCCUUCUUCUUCUUCUUCUUCUUCUCUUCUUGUAUACGUCAGCCUAGCCAGCUCAGGCUUGGACACGUGUCACGUGGGACCGUCUCAGCCGAGCUUGGACACGUGUCAUUUAAAAACUGUUUAAUGGGUCGACAUAUGGGCCUCUCUAUGAGACUCCCCUGGGACCUCCAACCAAUCCCUGCAUCUGCACAGAACACACCAUUCUUCUGAUGAAAUCAACAGCAUUUCAAGCUCAGCUCACCCGUAGAAAAGCCAGCUUGCAGCAGCCUUCUUCCCCUUCACCACCAACAAUUAUUUUACAUUCCCAAUCACAAAUCGAUAACAGAAAGCACAAACAAGUAGCUAGUCAAACAUUGUUCUAAAAUAUAUGUUCUUCAUCAUCAUAGAUCAGAGGGAUAAAAACAACAGGUGAUGAAGCACAAAACGUUGUAAACAAAACAGCAUCAUUCGUUGCUUACAGCAAACACCGAAUUAACCUCCCUUCUCCACACAGAAAGGGAAACAUCAAAUGGAGUAAUAACGUUCCAUGCAGAAACAGCCAACAUAAACAGUCUUCAACAGGUAAGACUUGUCCCUGUAAAUGUCAACUGCACAACUGACUGGUUGAUUCAACCAGUCAUGUCAGGGUACUGUAUAUGGCCCCUUCAAAGAGGGGGCCGCCAAAAGGAUCAUCCUUUUUCUUCUUUGAAUGUAAGCUUGGCCAAGCAAAAUGUUGCGGAAGAUAUUCUGCUUAUUACGUCUCUUUGCCACCAACUAGCUAAGAAUCCGACUGACUGGCAUGCUUCAUGUUCUUAUGUCUCUUCAGGACAGACAACUCGUACUUUUGCAUCCCUUCCCUCGCCCUCCGUAGACUGCACGACGGGCAAUACCACUGGCCUUUCGGGAUGCAGGUGCGCUUCGGCGUCAUGCAGUAUAUGUGAUAAGCUUCGUCACAGCCGUCGCACAAGGCGAUAUCUUUGUCAUCCUUAUUCUUGAAGCAGCAUCUGCAGAGACAGGACGGGCAGUACCAGCAUCCGAGGUUUUUCUGCUUCUCAGACGCGAUCUGGCUUUCUCUGAGGCAUCGGAUGUGAUAGAAUUUGUAAGAGCAGUAAGGAUGACCACAUACCAAGAAUCGCCUGUCGUCGUCUUCGCAUGUGCCGCAGUGUUUGCACAGCUUUGCAAGGGCAGUUGUGCACAGGUCUGGCUCGUUGUCUUCCACCACGCAUGGCACGGAGCUCCCCUCUCUUUCAUCAGCUAACUCCAUUCCACUACCAAUUUCAGGCGGUUCUAUUUUCUCAAGGACUUCAAGCCUGGCACACAGAGGACAACCAACAUGCAAACUGUUCUUGUGAACAUUUUUCAUGAUGUCUGCAGCUGACCCCUUCCCCUUAUUGCUGCAGGCCGGGCAGUGCCAGGUUGCUGGGAUCUGUUUCAUAGCAGGAUGGAGUCGCUUGACACAGUCAAAGUGGUACGUGCUGUCACAUCCAUCACAGAUAAGUCUUUUUUCUUCUUCUGCACCGUCUCCACAUUGCUUGCAAGUGCAAAUUCGACGAAGUCCACCUGUCUCGGUUCGCUUUGGAAUUGUAGAAUGACCAGAAUCACAUGGGGAGAACUGCACGGUGGUAGUCGAACCCUUUGGGAUUUUGUGGACGACACCAACCAAGCUUGUUUCCUGGUGAAGAAUGCAAUUAGUAAAAGGUGUUAAUAGAGUGCAACAACAACAAAAAAUGACCAGCAGACUGUCUCCAAACACACCAAUUACCUCUAUCCGGCGCUCAGCAGCAUCCUCUGCUUCAGAAACUCCAGAAGUCUAUAAAGAAUAUAUCGUAAGCAAUGUGCAGUACCAGCAUAAAAGCCAACAAGUUAAAGACUCCACAAUAGCUUGAAGCAUGGUCGUGGAGAAAAUAACUACAAAUUUACCUGCUUCUGAUAAGAAGCUCGUGAAAUGAUUGGAAGAUUGCUUGCUAGACAUGUCAUCUCCCGGCCAACUCGUUCAAACUUCUCCCAUGUCUACAUCAGAAACAAAUAUCCAUACAGAUACAUGAAUAUGAUGACACUUUACUCAGAAUAUUGUUUGCCUGAAUGUUAUGCAACUUCAGGUGAAACAACAAUAGCAAGCAAGCAGUUUCAUUGAGCACUGCUCCUAUACUAGCUACAACAUGGAAUGUGCUACUUAGAAAACAUGAUUCAUCCUCCCUUGGGAGUCUCCUGGUUGGAUGAUUCAAACUGUUUGGAAGGCCAAGGCAGCUAAUGUGCAAUCAAAUGGUGCAAACAUAGGAACUAGUUUCAGAACAACAGUGUAUAAAGGGCUUUCUCUACUCUGCCAAGUAAAGUGAAGUUUAUGUAUCUAUACUAGAUAAAGCUCAAGAAUAAACAAGAAAGCAGUUAUUUUUUCCGAUGAUUGAGUAAAAUGGAGAUAAAGCUACCUGCUGGAUAUCUUUGUUGAACAACGCCGGAUUCUGUGCAUAACUUCCGUUUCUCAUGUUGGCGUCAAUUCUCCCCAAAUCAAUGACCUCAUGAACAUUAUUCACAUGGAAAGUUUCAACUAGCAGAUCACACAGCAGGGCAAAUUUCUCAGAGACUAAAAUGUCAAGGAGAGCACUGUUGCACAUUGCUGUGUUGGCAUCCAAAGAUGCUGCAGUUGCAUCUUUUAACGCAACAAAGGAACAAAUCUCUUUCGCAUCCGCCAGCCCAGUAGGAUGCUCAUCUGACGAAUCUUGGGCCUUCCCAAGGUCACCCUGGUAAUCACAGAAGUUCACCGUCAGUUUCAUAUCACAGUAUAACAAGGUUGCUCUUUUUAUUAAAUAGAUAUGAGAAAAGCAAAGAAGAUGAUGACUGACUUGUUGUUCAGAUUGGCAGCGGUUGUAUCUGAGAGCGUCACAGAUGCAGCUGUGAAUCCCACCGCCCUUAUUUAUACCUGGGGCUUGCAGGUAGCCCUCCAAUGUGUUCUUCCAAGUAAUCCAAUGCCUGGCCAGCAUUGGGUGCCCAUCUUGGCGAGAAUUGCCACCGUACAGCAUCAUGGCGGCACUAGACUGCACGGAAAUAAAGCAACCAAGCACAUUGGACACGGUUCGGUUAUGUAUUACAGUAUAAAAUAGGCAUCUCAGGAGUCAGGAGACAGAAUUCCUAGGAACAAGUAGCAGGAGCCGAGAUUCAGAGCAAUUCGAAAGAACAGAGUGAGCAAAUCUAGCCGCGUGAAAUGAAAUCUUGGCUGGAGUGCUUAUGGCACCAGGAAGCCAGAGAUGUCCCAGUUGCAACAGCGGAACACGGCGGCGGGCGGGCGGGGGGAAGAAAGAAUGGAAGACGGGGAGAGCAGGGGUUAGAUGCGAAAGCUUGGCUCACCUGUCCGGGGUCGGAGCUGGCGCCGCCGUCGGCGCGGGAGGCGGCGCGGCGGCGCUUGCGCGUGUAAGUGAGGACGCCGCCGCCGCUGCUUCCGCCGGGGGUCUCCGGGGCGCGGCGCUUGGGCGGGACCGGCGGCCGGCUGGCGCCGUCCUGGGAGGCGGACAUCUUGGCUCCCGUCCGGCGAGGCUACAGCAUGUGUUUUCCCCGGCGAAGAGCGGGGCCUAGACUGGGAACUCAGCGGGAGCGCAGCCGCGGCGGGGAGGACGGCCGAGGGGGCUGGUUUCUAGGGUUUGCGGAGGGGCGGUUUGCUGGGGAAGGAUUUGGGGAUUUGUGUGGGGAGCGAGGAGCGGGAGGAAGGAAGAAGAAGAGAUUUUGCGAAACGGAAACGGGGAAAGAAACGGAAACGCGGACGGACAGGCUGUGUGUGUGCUCGCCGUCACGGCUGCCUGCUUUCAACUCUCUCUCUUCCGUCUCCACCAAUUCAAAGUGCUCACGAAAUUGGCAGCGGACGUUCGUUUGGUAUGCUUAGGGGGCGACAUCCCCGGUGAGGAGAUAUACGGUGGAGGAUGAGGCGUUGGGUCGGUAGGCUUAGGGGUCCACGUCUCCGGUGAGGUUUGGUAGGAGGAGAUAUACGGCGGAGGGUUGGGUCGGCAUGCUUAGGGGGUGACAUCUUCGGCGUUGUUGGGGUAGUAGGAGGAGAAGGAAAGGGGGAAGGGGGAGGACGGCUGAUCGUGGUGACGGUGAGGUUGUAUGUAUAGGUGGCCAACUAAGCGGAAGGAUUCGAUUUUCGUUGGUGAGGAAAUGUCUUCCCGUGGCUGUGUAAGGAAGGAGAGGCCGUGUCAAUAGGAAAUGAGCGAGAAGAGGGGCAGGAGGAAGGAGAGGCGGCUGCAAGAGGGGAGGAGCGACGAGAGGCAGACAGGGAGAAAACCCUAAUAAGGCAACAGCUGUAGGGCUAAAUGGGCUAUAGUCCAUAGUUGGGUUGUGCUUUCGCUCUCUUCUUUUUUUCCUCAUGUUCCCCGUUGUUAUCCCAGGCCUUAAUCGCUCUCUUAUUUUUUUUUCCUUGUUGGCCCGUUCGGGCAGCCCAAGCACUGUAUACGCGAGUUGGGCACCGGGUGGAAACAAAAUGUCAUCCACUGCCCAAUGCCUUCCCAAACCUUAUAGGUCACUACGUAUUCAACACAAGUAAAGAACUUCGUACCAAACAUUCAUUUGGUAAUGCUUACGGACGAUCUCUUCUAGGAGGAUAUGUGCGGGACAGGAGAUGUCGAAGAGAAGGUAAGAUGGGAAGACAAAGGACCGCUGCCCUUGACAACGCGUUUGUACGUGUCAAACAGUAUUGAAACAAGUAGAUAACUUUGCACCAAACUCUUAGCUCGGUAAUGCUUAGAUGGCGAUGUCUUUUGUGCCGCUUCGGUAGGAGGAAAUGUGUGUAGAAGAGAAACCGAGGAGGAAGAAAAUAAGGGGAAGGAACGCAUGCAGCUGACCUUAACAAUGGCGAAGUCGAACGAAUCACUUGGUGUGGCCACAAGACGACGGCGUGGUCGAAUGGAGUGGCUGAUCCAAGCGGGCGGUGCCCCCACUUGACCACGGGACAACGCCGAUGGCUUGCGGGACGACGACGAUGUUAGAUCUAAGAAACGGUGUGGCGGCGGAUCUGAGAAGAAAGAGGCGGAGGGGAAAAGAGGGUUUGGGAGACUAACCAUACGUGGCUAUAAAUACAAUCGAUGAUGUCCUGGGAAAACAUGAGGCGCAAUUGCGGAGGCAAAUAAAUGUACUACAUAAAUGAGCCAAUUUUGUGAGGAAAUUUCUCUCUUUCAUAUCAGAAAGUCUGUAUGUACGACGAUUUCGUGUGAUCUACUCGCCGAUCCAUAAUAAAUGAGCGACACUUCUUAUGGAUCUGAGGGAGUACUAAAUUUCCUCAAGCCCAAGCCCAAGCCCAGAUGGCAAUGCUAGUAGUUUGUCUUUCAUAUAGCUUUGCUAGGCCAUCUGUAUACACGCUGAAAAAAAAAAUUGCAGGCCAUGCCAGCCAGCCUCACAAAGUCAGGUGACUUAAGUCAGAGAAUACUGGCUGGUGUCAGAUGGUAGCUAAUUCCAGUUAAAUGUUGUCAAUUUUCAAAGCAGAAGCAUGAAACUACAAAAAAUAGUGGCAAUACAGAUAUGCGUAUAGAAUAUUGAUUUGCUAUCUUUCUUUCUUUUUGCAAGGAAAGUGCCAUUCCCUUGCCUGAGGAUACUAUAUUUACCACUGCCGCGUCGUUUCUCCCCUCGGCGGCAGUGAGACAUCAUAUCAGAAGGCGCUGGAGACUACAUAGCCUGCCAACGAAGAACAUCACACAGCAUGAUCCAGCAACGGGCCGCUCGCUUUGCCUCUAAAUGAGGUUGUCAUCCCUUCGCCAAGCCUUUUACCUGAACAUGGUGUGCUCAUCCCGUUAGAUGAAGACCUCAAUCAAAUUGUGAACUGGACAGAUAAGAUGUUGGAUGAUGCAAGAUAUGACAAUUUUGAUGUGAAAAGGAAAGACCAAAUACUGGCAAGAUCUCUAUACGUGAUAUCAUAAUAGUCAAUAGAAGAUCAGCAUGAGUGGAAUCACAUAAGUAAUGUCAUAAAACUUAUCAUCAGGGCUUACUCUCUAUCAAGUCAAAAAAGGAAAAUUUGCAGUGGCUGGUAUAGUUUAAAACAUGGUGAAAAGGAAAAAUUGCAGCAGCGAGGUGCUAUGUAUUAGAGCUCUUUUACGGUACCCCGGAAUUAAUAUUGGCCAUCCAUUCACCCCAAUCUAAUGGCUAUUGUUAUCGGGUACUCCACCGAUGGUUCUCUGGAGUACUACCUCGAAAAGGCACGGAGUACCUUGUUACAAGGGGUAAAAUAGUAAUCAGAGACUUUCUUAUUUCUCAUUAGGGGCAAUCUCUGAGUUUUUCCUCGCAAUCAACAUGAAAACAUUCCCCGUGUGAAAAAAUUAUAACCCGAUGAACCCUAAUUCUAAACAGGUGAGACCAUCAUCCAUAGAUUCAAUCGUAGGUCUAAAAUAAAUCAAUGGUAGAGAUGUAUAAUUGAUCCAAGAAUCCACUAGGAGGCUGCACAAUUGAUCAAUCCAUACGUGCUGUCGCUGCUGUGAUCCAAGAAUCCACGAGGAGUCUGCACAAUUGAUUGAUCCAUACAUGUUGUCCUUGCUGUGAACAGCGCCAUCAGAAUCCCGGACAGCGCUGUGCAGCCUGUAGCGGGUGAGCGGCGCGUGCGAUCAAGAAUAAAAGUGAACCAUCGACGGCGGGCAGAUCUGGCGGCUAGACAGCGGCGUGACCGACGGGGGCUUGAUCGUUCGUCGCCUCGUCGGUGGCCAGACGCGAGGGCAGGGCCGCUCGAUCAGCACUGUUCAGUCAAAACAGCCCUUACAAAAUGUCCAAAUUACCCUCAUGUUUGGACGGCCAGAUUUAUUUGGUACUCCAAUCCAUGCCAAAGAGUACCAGGGUACCGUAAAAAAGCUCAUGUAUUAUUGGUAGCUGGCUUCAACAAGUCAUGACAACUUGAAAUUUAAAUACAGUGAAAACAUGUGGAACUUUGUCAGGAUCAGAAGACUUAUUCUUAACACCGUUCAUCAUGUUGAGAGCACAGGGUUUGCAUAAACAAAGCAAAAACGCGUAAACCUCAGCAACCUAACAACUAAGAACUCACUUGCUAUUAGUUUUAAUUUGGUAUGGUUUCGUAUAUGUUGGAAUGUUUGAUUUUGUUGGAAUUUCCAAAGUGAACUAAAUGACGUAAACAACAAGCCAGGCAACUGGAAUCUGCAAUCGACAAUGGCAGUAGAAAAGUGUAGUGAUAUAUGUAUGUACCUGGGAGAAGAUGAGCAGCCGGAACUGUUAUGGGUCACAGAGAACACAUUGGAGAGAGACUUUGUGAGGUAUGCAAAGUUUGGUAUCGGCGGCAACGCGGGCACACGCUCCCCUUUCCUCAGCAGCUCCUCCAAGUCGAGCCUUUGCAAAGUGAGUACAGACUUGUUGUCUCUCCAAACAAAGGCGAGCCGGCCAUCCUGGAGAGCAAAGAGUGACCCGGGCUUUGAGCCAGGGUACCUGAACCCAUACCCCGCUGCAAUGCCCUCCCCGGCAAAGCUUCUCGCAAUGUCCACACGGCGGGAAUCCUCGUCGGACUGCCAUGGAAAUGCCUCUGUCGAUGGCUCGCCCAUCCGCGCGAUAAACAUGGCCGACCCAUUGGGAUGCACGACAUAGUGUGUGCCCUCCAACACCUUGGUUGCGAUCAGCAUAAGCUUCCUCUCGCUGUCUUCCUCGUAGGAGAGGAGCAGGAAGAAGAGGGCCUUCCGUGGUUUGCGGUCAUCCUCCGGCCGCCCCGGUGGCCACCCGAAUGUGCCUCCCCACAGUCCGGCAUACUCCCGGCCGGGCACCGGCGCCUGUGUCGCCAGCUUGUAGAGCGCGAACCGGUUGCCAUGCAUGCUUGGCCACGCUCGGUAGGUCGACAGCCGCAGCUGGGCGCCCCGGAGGCUCAGGCCAACGCUCUUGCCGGCGCGCAAGAACUCGUCCAAUGCCAGAUGCUUGCUGCCUCCGAACUCUACCGUUGAAUUGGCCGACGCAGAGCGCGUCACCAUCUGCAGCAGCCCUUUCCUGACGAACCCGGCCAUCGCAGACAGGCUCCUCCGAAGGGGAACCUUAUCACCUGCAGCAUCGCCGUUCGUCGUCGGCGGCAUCUUCUUGGCUGCUUCCAGCAGCAGAGCCUCGAGCUCUGCCCGGCUCACCAUGCCGCCGCCGGACGACGACGAAUCCUUGUGCAGACGCAGCAUCGCCUCCCGGCGCGCGGCGAGCAAGGGGAGGUCCUCAUCGGAGCGCGCGAAGAGCGGCGCCGCGGCGAGGUCCGGCGGGAGCUUGACGCGGCAGGAGGCGACGAGCGCAUCGAGCAGGCCGCAGCGGUUACCGAAGGAGAGGCGGGAGAAGCUGGAGGAGGAAGAAGAGGGAGAAGGCGCGAGGGCCUCGAGGAGGAGGGCGUUGGUGUUGGGGUGGAGGGAGGAGAGGCGGCCGGGGAAGAGGGAUCCGGCGCCGUGGAGGAAGAGGAGCGCGGGGCGGCCAUGGGCGUCGGCGAGGAGCUCGAAGACGGGCGCCCAGCGGAGGCGCGGGGAGAGCUCCUGCGGGAUGGCGCGGAUGGCGACGAGGGAGAGGAACCCCGGGAGCGCCGCCACCAGGUUGCCCAGCUCCGGGUUCUGCUGCGCCCAGAGACCGCGGAGCGGGGCCGCGGAGUGGAGGAAGCGGCAGACGGUAAGAGAGGAGCCCCCGGCGGCGGCGCGCCAUGAGAGGAGGUGCGACGGCGGGGAAGAAGAAGGGAGCAGGCGGCGGCACUGCGCCAGCCAGGGCUUGUCGGCAGCGGAGAGGGCCGCGUGGAGGCGGCGGUCGGCGGCGGAGAGCGCCAGGAGGUCCCGCGGGCGGAGGUGGGCGGAGAUCAGGGCCAGCACGUCGUCCGGGAGCGCCAGGAUCAGCUCGCCCCCGGCCAUGGAGAUCGGGGUUGGGUGGGCCGUCUGCUUCCUUUCGCCUUUUUCUUUUCUUUUCUCAACCUCAAAAAAGUUCCAAGCUUUAUAAUCCUGCGAGAAGAAGACUGUGAAGAGUGACAAGCUCAGCCUGGUCUUUUUCCUCGGACGAUGAAGAAAUAUCUCUUUUUUUUUGCAUUUCGCUCUCGUGCUAUUCUCGCUGGCCACCUUGCUAAAAUAUCUCGAACCACUGUCUACACCAUUUUAUUACGCUUAUCGGUCUAUUUAUCUGCAGUUUCCUCCACAUUGCUCGACAUUGAUAAAUCACCUUCUCUAGUCACCUUCAUGCACCACAAGCUUCAGUGGAUUUACCAAUAAUUUCUUAACCCGAGUCUCUUUCGGACCCAAAAGGUGGACACACAAACUACGUGAUCAACAAGAAUGAUGUGAUACGAGGCAACAAGCAAGGAUCCGCGUCCGUUCAUGGGUUCGGAGUGUCAAAACUCAGCUCUAUGUUUCGUAGGAUUUUUACAGAAUUUCAAUCCUAGGAGUUUUUUUCUACAUGUAGCAUGGUUUCAGAACGAACAUGUUAGAUUUCUAAGAACUGUAUCCAAAUUGGCAUAAUUCAUAAGGAUUCUAAACAUCAGGUACGAGCUCAUUUAAAAUUAUUAAAGAAUAAAUAUGCAUGACAUUUCAAUCAUCUAUUUUCAUAUUCAUAUGAUUUCAAAAUCCUAUGAACCGAAUAAGCCCUAGGAUUACGACGUUGUCAAGGGUCAAGAAUGUAAAAAAGAAAAGUGUUAUAGAAGGGAAAAAAACGUCACCGUCAAAAAGAAUGAAUUAGUUUUGAUUUGGUCACAAGGUCUAGAAGAAGAAGAUGCUGCUUCUUGGUGGAUGUCAUGUCGACGUCAAGAUCACCUAUUGGCACAUUUCGUCCAGUCGUCGUUUGUAGUUUAUGUCCAGCGAAUUUGAGACCCGGUCAAACAGUGAACUCAUCAUCCUCGACGACUUUGACCAGGGUGGGUCCUUUGGGCCUUAAAAGACUCUCCUCGCUUUGGGCCCAUUAUAUUAGACAAGACCCCUUAUACAAAACAAGAGAGAGGCCAAGCCCAUGAGCAGAAGAACGCAACGGGCUGUGGGCCGGAAGCAGUAUCACCGUGGCAUCGAGAGCAGAUUACUUUUUAUUCGCUCAAACUAACAAUGAAACCUGCCCUAAAAAAAAACUAACAAUGAAUGAUCCCUAAAAAAAAAUUACCACUUGAAUGACAGGUCGUCCUCUACAAUUAUGGUUGUUUACAUGGCCUAAAUCAGCCAACUUUGUCUGACCACUCUGCUCUACGGUCGAAUCUAAGCUAGUAACUUAAUGGGCUUGUUUGGUCCUAAUCAUGGAAGAUGAUGAUUGGUCUAUGACAUAGAUACAGACUGGGACAGGGGCGCCAGACUCGUGCCUAAUCCUUCUUGUUUCAUCCAAGAAAAGUCUUAAGCCGUAUACACUGCCAGCCGGUACGCAUCGCAAUCUCAGGAUGACGCUCAAAUUGUCAAACCAGUUUGUCCUAAGAUGAGUUUUUUGUUUUGUUCAACGUAUAGCUGUAAUGGUCUGAUGGCAAAGAAUCUAACUGAAUGUAUAGCUGCAUGGUCUGAUGACAAAAGAGUACGCAUCUCAGAAAAAUGCGGGCAAGAACACAAGCAAAACCAAAGAUUAAUACGAUAACACACUGUACGAAAUUAACACUGGAUAGAGAUCGAAAAAUAACAAUCAAGAAAUACGUAAAUGUAACCCUGCAAAAGAAACAUAAAUGUACUGCAUAAUUACAGUACACAAUAAUACUUGUUGCAGCAAAACUCUGAUGAUCAUCAUCAUUUCUGAUUGUGAAGACGUCCUUUCAAUGAAAUUCAAUCAAGAAACCAAUUGCUUCAUUGCUCAUGAUAGCUACGAGUAGCUAGUAACGGCAUGAAAUCGAGAUCAUCUUAAUCUGUUUUGCAGCUGAUUGCAUGCUCCUCAUUUCUUGGCGGCGGCAUUGCUGGAGGAGGAAGAAGCUGAAGCAGAGGAGGUCCUCUGUUCGUCGACCUUGUGCACCACCUUGCUCCUGCCUCUGUGCGCCACCAACAUCUUCCUCAGCGCGCGCAUCAUCGCCACCAGCCCCGGCGCCCUUCUCCGGGACGAGCCGCUCCUCCUCGCCGCCGCGACCUGCAGCACCGCCACCUCGCGCUCCUCCUUCGCUGCCCGCCGCCGGCGGGAAAUGUCGAAGGACAGGUCGUCGUCGGCCAAGUCCUCCCUGCCGUCGUCGUUGAGGUCCUCCCACAGGCUGUCCAUCAUCUCCUCUUCUUCGUCCUCGGCUCCGGCGGGGGAGCAGAAAUUGGCGCGCCAUGGCGAUGCGGGAGCGGCGCUGGAGUCCGCGGCAGAGAAGCUGCGGCGGAUGGGCGACGACGAGAGCAGCCACGCCGGCGGCGGAGACGCGGACGCCCUGCUGUAAUUCCGGCGGUGGCUGUAGGUGCUGCUGCUGCAGCAGGCGGCGGCGAGGAGCUGAGGCGGCGGCGUGGGGAAGCUGAAGUCGUCGUCUUGCUCCGCCAUCGCCAUUGCCUAUUCUCUUCUCCCUUCUCUGCUCUGCUCUGUUCUGCUACUGCUGGAUUGCGUCUUGGUGGGGAAGAAGAUGCCAGUAGUGCUUCUGUUACCUAGCUACGUGUUGACUCUCAUCAAAUAAGGAGAGGAAGAUACCUCAAAAAAAAAAGUAGCUGGAGUUUGGUCCAACCGCAAGUAUUUUGAUUGAUGCUUGAUUGGUGGUCAAUCAAGGCAUUCCCUAUUGAUGCUGUAUCAGUAAUUUGUUUCAUGCGUACAAACUUUGAGCUAGAGUUGGCUCCAAGUUUUGCUUCAACGUUUGACCUCUUGAGCUGCACAUAUAUUCAGUUUACUACUCACCCCUUGUUUCCAACACGGCAUAAAAACUCAACUUAGGACAGUUCAUUUGAGCAUCAUCCUGAGAUUGCGAUGCAUACCGGCUGGCAGUGUACAGCUCAAGACUUUCUCUUGGACGAAAACAAGAAGAAUUAGGCACGACGAGUAUGAUGUCAAAAAAAUAAAACAAAAAAAUUAGGCACGAUUCCGGCCCCCGUGAUGUCUGUCAUAGACCACUGAUAUUCCAUGAUUAGGACCGAACCCAUUGUUAAAUUAGUACUAGAAGCUUAGGUUCGACCGUAAGAUUAAGAAGCAGAGUGGACAGACGAAGUUGGUUAAGUUAGGCCAUGUAAACGACGAUAAUUGCAGCGAGCAGGCUGUUCAUUAAUUAAUUAGCACAAAACAGGGUUCAAACGGUCCUUGAUACUUCUAUGUCUGAGGUCAACUGCCGUCUGUGUAGCACUUGACGACGGAUGAGAACAUGCCACUGGCUAAUUAAUUGGCAAACAGAUUGCCAUGACAUACAUUACCUAUCCGUCUAAAAUGUUGCAGCGAUCCAGUAAUUCCGGUGGCUGGUUGCUUCUUGUCUCUAAUUCUUUGUUUUGAUUUGAGAAAACCCAGCCGAAAUGCUGGGCUGGGCUGUAUCCAAAUUCAUGUUAAGGUUUUGGCCCACAAGUCCAUUACCAUCACAAACAAUUAGCUUCUCUGUCCGCUCAAAAAAAAAAAAAGCUUCUCUCGUCCUGUCUCGUGACUGUCCUCGACAUACAUACUUUAUCUUUUGUCUUCUUUGAAAGAAAGAAUGCACAUGUAUACUUAUUUUCAUUCCGUUUGUUGCAAGUAUACAUCGUUCGUCCUAGUAAUGCAUACUGCACGUUCCAGAGAAAUCAGGACACUUGGACCAUUGCUUGAGUAUCAUCACUGUCGGCUUGGUUAAACAUCCCAAUUCCCAAAAUAAAACCAUAACAGAUACAUGUCACCCUCCCCGUGGAUCGCACUAGCAAUGGCUAUGUUUCCAGGAGACAAUCACAGCAGAAAUUGGACCCAGCAAGGCAGCAAGGACGAUAAGAACCUGACACAAUAGAUAAGCGAUUGAUGGGAUGGAAACAAAAUUUAAGCAGCGGUGAGGCCUUUGCACAAAAUUUAAGCAGCAGCCAACCACCAAAGAAAACAUGGAGGAUGUCCGGAUCGUCUCCCGGCGCAUGAUCCGGCCGGAGCCGACGAGCACGCGGCGGCCGCCGGAGCUGGAGCCGGAGACGGUGAUCCACCUGACGCCAUGGGACCUCCAGAUGGUGACCGUGGAGCACAUCCAGAAGGGCAUCCUCCUGCCCAAGCAUCCACAGGGGCACAGCCAUGCCGUCGAACGGCUCGCGUCGUCCUUCGCGCUCGCUCUGGGACGCUUCUACCCCUUUGCCGGCCGGCUCACCGUCGAGGAGCUCCAGCAGGACGGCGGCAUCGCCAUGUCGCUGCGCUGCAGCGGCGAGGGCGCGGAGUUCGUCCACGCCGUGGCGCCCGGCGUCACCGUCGCCGACAUCACCUCGCCGGUGUACGUCCCGCCGGUGGUCUGGUCCUUCUUCCCGCUCGACGGGGUGCUCGGCUUGGACGCCGCCGUGGCCUCCCUACCGGUGCUGGCCGUGCAGGCCACCGAGCUCGACGACGGCGUCUUCCUCGCCAUGUCGCUCAACCACGGCGUCGCCGACGGCACCACCUUCUGGCACUUCUUCAACACCUGGUCCGAGAUCAGCCGCCGGAGCGGCAACCACGACGCCGCCGCCAUCGGCUGCGAGAUCGCCUCGCCGUUGCCGUUGCUCCAAAGGUGGUUCCCUGAAGGCUGCCCCAUCCCCAUCCCUCUGCCCUUCGACAAGCCGGAGGACAUUGUCGGCGACCAGCGUGCCAAGUACCCGUCGGUGCAGGAAUGCUUCUUCCGUUUCUCCGCGGAGAGCGUAAAGGAGCUCAAGGCGAAGGCGAACGCCGAGAUGGCUGGCGCCCCAGCCACCAUCUCCUCGCUACAAGCCCUCUUCGCGCACAUGUGGCGCGCCGUGUGCCGAGCCCGACGCCUCGCGCGAGACCAGGACGUGACGUACAUCAUCCUAGUCGGAUGUCGAGGCCGCUUGGAGAGCAUGCCAUCGGCCUACAUGGGCAAUGCCGUGUCGCUUAUCAUGGCGAGGUCGACUGCCGGCGAGAUCCUGGACAAGGGGCUGGGCUGGGCAGGAUGGCUCCUGAACCGGGCCGUGGCAUCGUUCAACAUGGCGAGCGCAACGGCUGAGACCGCGUCUUGGCCUCGGAACCCUGGCUUCGUGCGUCCUCUGGCGUCCGUGUUAGACGGUCAACCAAAGUUGUCCACGGGGAGCUCGCCACGGUUCGACAUCUACGGAAACGACUUCGGAUGGGGCAGCCCGGUGACCGUGCGGAGCGGCUCGGCGAACAAGGUGGACGGGAAGAUGACGGUGUAUGAGGGCGGCGAGGGUGCCGGUAGCAUGGCGCUGGAGGUGUGCCUUGCUCCGGAGGCGCUCGCCAGGCUCGUCGCCGACCAAGAAUUCAUGGACGUGGUGAGCUCAACCAAGGAGUGAUCAAUGAUCAAUCGAGCUCCUUUUCUUAACCACCGUGCCUAUGUUAAGUCUUAGAUCUGCAUCACUCAUCCUCUAUGAAAUUUAUGUAUUUGCCAAGAACCACUGGAAUGAUGAUAUUUUGCAGUACUAGUGAAGUGUCCAGAUGUUGGUUGCAGCCCACCAUUCAACAGAAAUCAAGCAAUCACAAGAAAGCUUAUCAAACAAUCAUCUGAUCAUGUAAAGCUUAAGGGAUUCAAUUUCACUCAAGAUCACACAAAGGAGUACAUACAACAUUAAUUAAUUGCAGGAUCUUCACCCUCGAGCAGUGAACAAGUAAAAAAACUAUCAUCCCCAACAUGUUUCCAUUCCGUGUAGAAGCUAAUUAAGCAGCGAAGUACCAUCCCCAACCCCUCCAUUAAUCUUACAAGGUACUGAGGUGUAAUCACUGAGAACCUGCUGAUCCUUCCAUCUCAUUUUGCUUUGCUUUGUGUAGACCAACGAUCCAAGACCAGCAGCACUAGUGGAUGAACAAUCGUAGUAGCUAGUUUCUUUAUGUGAUGAUAAAAAGACCGUCUAGACUAGCCGUGGUAGUAUUACAUUACAGACGUAUUACAGGGAGAAUCAAAGAAGAGAAGAUUUCUGGUCAGACCUCGAAGUGCUCCAUCUGCACGUCGGAGGCCUUGAGCGGGACGUAGUCGCCGAGGUAGACCUCGAGGUGGUCGGAGAUGUUGCUCUUGUCGAUGCUCUCAUGGUGGUAGCUCUUGCAGACAAGGUACACCACCGUCUGCACCACCAGUGCGACCAUGACGACGGCGCAGAGCAGGGCCAGCAACGCGAGGCCCAGGAGCAGCCUGGCGCCGGCGCCGAUGCCGUGGCGCGCGCCCUGCACGACCCACGCCCUGAACGCUAGCUCGACGACGAUGAAGACGAGGUUGAGCGUGAAGAAGAUGGCGGAGGCGGUGCGGAGCUUCCCUUUGAUGAGGUCCUUGCUCUUGCGCAUGGCGUGGAAUCCCUUGUAGUCCUCGAGCACGGAGACGACGCUGGCGAGGUGCCAGAUGACGCCGAGGUAGACGAGCCCGGCGACGUAUGCGGCGAGGAUGGGGAAGAAGACGACCGCGGCGAGGCCGGAGCCGUUCUCGGUGGCGACGAGCAGCGCGAGGAAGACGGCGACGGCGGCGAGGUUGUAUACGGCGAGCAGCGCGAAGGCGGCGAGGAAGGUGGCCGCGAGCCGGCGCCAGACCCUGGGCACGACGGAGAGCACCCUGGGGAACGUGAGAGCGUCGUACUUCGCGGAGUAGACGGAGGCGACGGAGAAGACGGCGGCGGCGGUGGAGAGGAGGGAGAGGAGGAGGAGAGCGAGGAGGUAUGCGGACUUGAAGAGGACGAGCGCCGACCAGUCGGCGGCGAGGCGGCGGAGGAUCCGGUCCUGCGAGGCGGUCCCCGGGGAGGAGGAGUCGAGCGCCGUGUCGUCGGAGUCGAUGGUGGUGAAGAGCGCGUGGGAGAUGGCGAUGUGGGCGAGGAAGAGGGCCGAGAGCGGGAGCACGAAGGCGGCGGCGAUGCGGCCGUAGAGCGGGCGGUGCGCGCGCAGGAUGGCCACGGACUCACGCGCGAUCCCCACGGCGCCCAGGAACUGCAGCUCCUCCGGCUCGCACUCCAUGGGUUCCCGCGCCGCCGGUGAGGUGCUGGAGAUCUGGGGUUGAGCUAGGGAUUUGGACGGAGGGUGGGGAGCUCGUGAUUUGGGGAUUUUUUUUUGGUUCGGGGGAUUGGGGAAGAAGGAAGAAAGCUAAAGCUCAGCUAAGCUCGGGUUUGUUUGAUCGGGUCAAAGUCCGACCGGUCGCUUCCAGAAGCCGACCGACGAACCCGAUGACGCGUCUUCCUUUGCUUCCGCGAAAUGGCCGGCGUUGACCGUGGGCCAGGUUUCUGUUACACGGGCCGUCUCAGGGCAUGGAUGGGGGUAUUCCAUGCUCAGUGAAUGUCAUUCGGCCCUUACUGUAUCAGCUAUAAGCUAUAUAGGCCACCUUGGGCUCUGGAAGUUACUUUCUGUGUUUAUUGACUGGGGGCUAUCAGCCCAAACCAGAAUAAAUCAAAGCCUACUACUACUACUACUACUAGGCAAUUACAUGGGCCAAACGGAACUACUUUCUAUGCCAAUGUAACAACCUUGUCGUGCUUCUAAAAGAAAAACUUCUUGUACUACCUAAAACCGAAAUGUAAGGUUAAUGUUAUACGAGUCAUUUUAUUGUCGGCUCAAUGGUGAAGACUUGCUAAAGAGUCACAGUGUCAAAAAAAUAAAAUGACAUAUCAAUUCGCUUGUGGAUCGGAGUGGCAUGUUUGUUUCACUUGAGUCCAAAAAAACUCAGCAAGGAUUUCAAAGGUAGUAGUUCGGCCGUCCAAAAAAAAUAAGAAAAAUCCUAUGACUUAAAAAAGUUCAAAAAUAUAAAAACUGGUAGGAUUGAGAUCAGGCGACGUACGAUUUAUACGUUACAUCACCGGAGCCACUUCCAAACCACUACUCGGCCACCUAAAAAUCCAUAUUUCAUAAGACAAAAAUCUUACCAGCAAAGCUAACUUUUAAAUUAACAGGGGGAAGACGGUGACCUGCCCACUAUGGCAGUGUGCCAUUGUGCUUCUACACAUCGAUGAAUGGACACGAACACGACGCACGUCCACGUCAUCACUCAUCUACUCAUUAAUCAGUUUAAAAUUGAAUUCGCAAGUUUAACUCACAGAUUUCAAAUUCAAAAUUGAAUUUGCAAAUUUAACUCACAGAUUUCAAAUUGAAACCCAGAGACUAUAGUACUACUACUCUAGAGCUCACGUGGGCGAGAAGAAGAAGAGGAGAGCCCCCCCCCCCCCCCCCCGCGCCCGCGCCGGAAGGAAACCUAUAAAAAAAUCGCGUCUUUUUCUUCCGCCUCGAUCGGCAUCUCCUCCCUCCGCCGCGCGCGUGACGCGAGGAGAGGAUCCAUUAAUUCAGCCGGACAGCCAUGGCGCACGCCGCCCCCGUGUGCGCGCGGCUGCCCCCAUGGCGCGUCCUCCUCCUCCUCCUCGCCCUGCUCGCCUUCUCCUGCUUCGCCCUCACGCGCUUCCCCGCCGCCGGGGCCCCGCUCGCCGCCCUCAUCGCCGCCUCUUCUCCGGCCGCCGGCGGAAGCGGCAGGGAGAGCUGCGCCGGGUUCUACCGCGGCGAGGGCGCGGGCGGGAGGCGAGCGGCGUCGGCGUCGGUGGAGGAGUUCGGGGCCGUGGGCGACGGGGUCACGUCCAACACGGCGGCGUUCCGGCGCGCCGUGGCGGCGCUCGAGCAGAGGGCCGCCGCGGCCGGCGGUGGGGCUAUGCUGGAGGUGCCUCCUGGGAGGUGGCUAACCGGCAGCUUCAACCUCACCAGCCGCUUCACGCUCUUCCUGCACCACGGCGCCGUCAUCCUCGGCUCCCAGGUACGUACAUGAUCCAUCGUCGAUCGUCCGCCAAUUCCUUUUCCUCUUCUUGUUCUGUUCCAUUUGAUUAAUUCCAAUCUACUUUUCUGCUGAUAUGGGAAAUUAUUGUUGAUUAGUUGGUGGGUGCGGACAAUUUUAUUUCACAACAAAAAAAUUGCACAAAGCUAAUUAAGCUUUCCUGUAGUGGAGAAAUUGGAGUUUCCGGUAUAUGUUCUUGUUUGGUUGGUUGGACGCUGAGAAAAUGUGCACAUAGCUGAGCUUUCCUGUAGUGCUGAAAGUUGGAAUUUUCUGUCCACGUUCUUGUUUGAUUGGACGCUGGCUCCGACGUUUGUGCUGUCACUUGACAGUGGCAAUUGAAAAAAAAGGAAAGUGGGAAGAGAUGCUGUGGUGGGUUUGGAAUCCUGCACACAUGCUUGGAUGGUUGUUGGUUUCUUCUUCCUUUUCUGACUUCUGCAGCUUGCCACAUGUUAUUGUUCGUUCUAACUAACUAAAUCACACUGUGUCAGAGCCUUUGCUUUGUCCUUACUUUUGCUUGGACUGGCCUGACUUGAUUCUACUACUAUACUGUACUUUGCUUGUAGUGCUGUCUCCUCUGCUCAUAUGCAGCUAGUUCUAAAAGGUUACAUAAACCUCUAAUUGUUUGGAGGUUUCUGCAGAAGCUAGUAAUACUAAUACCCACUUCUGGUGCAUGCAAAUGCAGUGGUCAAUUGGUCAUACUAAUAAUUUGAAGGAUUGCUACUAUGUGUGGAGAGUUUAUGGGAGAUGAAUUUGCUAAAAGGAAUCCCUCAUACAUAUAUAUUGUGGAUACUGUCUACUAGUACUUUUAUGUGAGGGGCGGCUUAGUACAAAGUUGCUGGGAAAGAAACCAUAAUUAAGAGCGUUAGCUAGGAGUUUGACAUUGUUGCCACAUGCACUUGCAAUGCAAUAAUCCACCGCCUUAUUAUUCUAGGACAAUCAUGGAGCUAGUCUUCAAGUCCAACAUGUUAACAGGGUGGAUAAUCUUCAAGGGGACCUAUCACCAGAUACGUUACCUAUCUUCAAGGGUGCAUCAAUCCCCAGAUUCGAGAUUUAAUAAUAUUCGUGUACUCGAAUUUAAGUAGAAGAAUCUCCAGUGUUGCAUAUGUUACUAUGCAGUACUUGUACAGGAUGAUUUAUGAACUGCAGAGUGUGUUUUUUACCGAAAAACUGCAGAGUGUUGACUGUGCUAUUGGACUGUGACUGUGAUGUGCAGGAUCCAGAAGAAUGGCCUCUCAUAGCGCCAUUGCCGUCCUACGGGCGCGGGAGGGAAAGAUUAGGGCCACGGCACAUUAGCCUAAUCCAUGGUGAAAACCUAGACGACGUUGUUAUCACAGGUACACAAACUGUUUUUAACAGUCUCCACUUUCAAGUUUUGGUCAGUAAAAUAAAAAAAAUAUUGCAUGCAAAUCAGAGAGCCAGUCGGUGGAUCAAUUUAAGCAUAAAUUCCAGUUUGACUGUACUUUUGAAUUGCUUGGCUUUGCGUGUCAGGUAGCAAUGGGACCAUAGAUGGCCAAGGCAGGAUGUGGUGGGAGCUAUGGUGGAACCGGACUUUGAACCACACCAGAGGUCAUCUUAUCGAGCUCGUGAACUCGACAAAUGUCAUGAUCUCCAAUGUCACUCUACGCAAUUCCCCGUUUUGGACGGUGCAUCCGGUCUACUGCAGGUAUCAGUUUUAUCAUGCUGAUACAUUGGGUUUAUACCACUUUUUUUUUUACCAAAUUGGAUUUAUACCACUUCAUUUCCUUGUAGAGAGCCAUUUUGAUUUAUUUUUUCUUAGUUGAAAACGAAUAUUUGGUGAUCACAGAAACGUGGUGAUAAAGGAUUUGACAAUACUAGCUCCCCUGAAUGCUCCCAACACCGAUGGCAUUGAUCCAGGUUUGUGCUCUUCAAUUGACAGCACUCUUCUCUCUCAGAUAUGCAAUUAAUUAACACUCCUGGAAAAAAAAUCUAGUUCUAAACAUGGCCCAUCACUGAUUUUCGUACUGCUUAAGAUGAUAUAAACAGUAGUCCUACAUGUUUUCCUUCCAAAGUACAAAAUUACAAUUUACAGUGGCUAUCUCUGUUCUUCAUACCUUACUACCCUCGUCCUAGAUGAUGAAUGAUGAUGACCCUUUUAUACUAAUUAACCACAGGCUGGCUUAAUUUUGCAAAGAUCUCAAACUAGUUUCUCUUGAUGAAACAAUUACAUGGCAGACUCAAGUUCAGACGUUUGCAUCGAGGACUGCUACAUCGAAAGCGGAGACGACCUGGUCGCCAUCAAGAGCGGGUGGGACCAGUACGGGAUAUCUGUGAACAAGCCCAGCACCAACAUCAUCAUCCAGCGUGUCUCCGGCACGACUCCGACGUGCUCAGGCGUCGGCAUCGGCAGCGAGAUGUCCGGCGGGGUAUCCGGGGUGCUCAUCCGGGACCUCCACGUGUGGAACUCGGCGUCGGCGGUCAGGAUCAAGACCGACGUCGGGCGCGGCGGGUUCGUCACCAAUGUCACCGUAGCCAACGUGACCAUGGAGAGAGUCAAGGUGCCGAUCAGGUUCAGCCGGGGCUCCGACGACCACUCUGAUGACAAGUAUGACAGAACGGCAUUGCCGACGAUCAGCGAUGUUCGGAUCGUCGACAUUGUUGGAGUCGACGUGCAGCGGGCCCCAAUUCUUGAGGCGGUGCAUGGUGCAGUUUACGAGGGAAUCUGCUUCAGGAAUGUGAGCCUGAGGCUGAGAGAAGAGGUCAGGAGGAGGCAUGCUGGGUGGCAGUGUGAGUCUGUGUAUGGGGAGGCUCAUGGGGUUUUCCCUGAGGCUUGUGAAGAGCUGAGGCACAAUGGAUCUUCUUCUUGGUGUGGCCUUUCAUGAGAGCUAUUGUACAUAACUUGUAGGGUUUUUCUUAUGAGCUGAGAUCGAGACGUGGGGUGCAUGUCUGUAUUUGUGCUAGAGAAGGAUAAGGGAUAGAGUUUACAGUGAGACUAAACAUUAGACAUGUCUUAUGGAGUGUAUGUAUUUUUGUGCCUAAAGAAAGAUAAUGGGGUAGAAUUUACAGUCCAGUCUCAACAUUUAGACAUGUAUUCUUCUGAGGGGUUUUCAGUCAUGCAGAGUAAAAGGAAAACGCUUCGCCUUUAUCUUUCCAACAAUGGAAAACCUGGUAGUCUAACCAUGCUGCUACAUUCCCUUUUUAUUUAAAGUUGUAUUAGUUUUAACCGAUGAAGGCAAUAUAGAUUUUCCGGAUCCAGAGAAACUUGAGGUCAAUGUUAUUUGACUUCUUCAUAUAGAAUUUUCCUUUUUAUUUCAAGUUUUAUUAUCUUUAGCGAUAAAGGCAAUCUGAAUUUUCCAGAUCGAAAAAUCAGCUUCUUCAUGUAGAAUACUCACCGUAUUUAUUACUAUAUUGCUUCAGGAGUAGCUAAAUUUAUUUCCCUAGAUGUCUUUAAUCAGGUUUAUAUGAGUGAUUUCUUAUCGUCUUCCCAGGCAGUUCCACCCAAAGGAAACAUUUCUCUACGGUUACAAGGUUUUCAUUUCAACGCCAUACACACGGUUUAACAGAGAACUACACGCAGAGGUUUCUCCUAUAGGGUCUCUAGCAUAAGCACCCACCCGUAUAAACAUGCUAAAAAGACCGAGGGAAAAACUAAACUACUUCAUUUCACAAUAUAGCUUACAUACGGUUUUCUCUUUCGGGAACCCCCGAAGGGUUCACAUAAAGAUAAAGAAAUUACCUUACUACUUUCCCAGUCUUAUGUUACAAAUGCCUUAAUUACACAAGCUUUAUUACAGUGGGAAGUGGUACUACUACUAGAGAACAGAUAGUUUUCUGGCUAGCUGCCCUGAACUACUUGCUGCUCUGAAGGCUUGUGUUGUGCUCGAUGAUUGUGUGUCCUCCAAUGCUGCAAAGAGCCUCCUUAUAUAGGCACCAUGGCUGGCUCAAAUAGUGCUCCCAUGCAUUAUUUACCUCACCUUUUUCCAUGUCCAUGAUGCACCUUCUUUAUAGCCUUUGGAUGCAUGCAUGCAUGGUGAUGAGGGUCUUUUGGCUGCCACUUCACUCUUUGGUUGCAUACGAACUCUCUCUCUCUAUAUAUUUAUAUAUAUGCAUAUCACUAUAUAUCUGUGAUUUGUGCACUUUUGGGGUCCCAUAUGCCUCAUCUGAUCUGCUACAGGAUGACCUUACCUUCGCGAGGAGAAAGUGAAUUAGCUAAAAAGUAAUGCGCUGCUCUUGAGAUCUAAAGUAAUUAGUGAAAAGUAUUCAAGUUGUUAAAGGAUCAUAGAGUGUGUGGUUUUCAUUCCUCUCCCAUGGGUUAAGAACUCUUUUCUUAUUCAUUGCUCUCUCAUCAAUGGUCCCACGUACAACUACACUGAUCAACCUACUGACAAAAGAUCCGUAAACGAAUUAACAUCAGCUAGGAAUAGCGGUCAAUUUGAAAGAGUAAAUGCACAUGUACCCUGCAGCGAGCUAGAAAGCCAUCUCACCAGAGCAGAACUGGUUCCCGGAUGGGUCGAUUGGUAAGUACUUUUUCAAGAACGAGGUCUUCACCCAGAUAUUGCCACAUAAGAAGACUUCUCCGCCUGUAUCAGAUUGUGCAGGAGAGUAAUGACGGUGGAUUUGAGGAACCACGACGAGCGGCAGCCCCGCUGCCGCCGUUUCCUUCCUUGGUGGUCACCUUUGCUUGCACGUUCAUGUAAAUCUGCAAAAACAGCCACCAAAUUCCCCAAUUCGAACCAAACUGUAAGACAAUGACAUAUUCUUUCCUUCCACAAUACCACACAGGAAUUCAGAGAAUCGCCAACCUGGAGGAACGAUUCCAACUCAAUCUCGCCGCCAUGGAAAUCCGAGAGAACGGGGACAGUGCGCCAUGCUGGACGAGAGGAGGCCACGUGCCGUUGCCUCGCGACGGUGGAGAUCCAUGGCGCCGCGCGUCGGGGGUCCAGCGUGCUGCUUGCUCCCGCGCCGUCGUUGGCGGACCCGCUGCUCCCGUGCCGUUGGAGGAAGGAGAGGGGGUGCGGAAGAAGAGAGGAGGAAGGAGAGGGGGCACGUGCGCCCGGCUCGAUCUGUCCGGAGGACUCGGCGCCGACGAAGGGAGGAAGGAGAUGGGGCGCGGAGGAAGAGAGGAGGAAGGAUAGGGGUGUGAGGAGGAAGGAGACGUUUGCACGCGGCGACGAUGGGAGUGACGACGCGAAGUUGGUUGGUUGUGACGGCUGGGCGGAGCCGCGGAGGGGAGAGGAGGAGGCGGGGUUUUUAUUGCGUACGGUGUCAAGGCAAAGCGGAGGGCGUUUUUUUUUCUCGGGUGGGGGCGGACCACAGACGCGGAGGCAGGUUUGACAGGAGACGAAAACGUGUAUGAAACGAACGGUCCGUAUUUUUUAAUAGUUAUUAUAGGUAUAGAUUUUACUCCCUCCGUCGGAGUACCGGGCAAACAGAAAACCUAGCACAGCCAGCACGUUCCAUUUUGGCCUUAUAUCGUAUCAGACACAAACUCUGGGCCUUAUACUGGCCCAAAAUCCGGCAACGGCCCAAACAAACAAAGGGCGGUCCAGGAGAAGAAGACGAGGCGAGCACGAACAAACGCUGCGACCUCUUCUCCCACCCCAAACGAGCAGAGAUGGCGGCGGCGGUCGGCGGCGCGGGCAAUGGAGCCGGCGAGGAGGCCGGCGGCGCGGAGUUCUACCUGCGCUACUACGUGGGGCACAAGGGCAAGUUCGGGCACGAGUUCCUCGAGUUCGAGUUCCGCCCCGACGGCAAGCUCCGCUACGCCAACAACUCCAACUACAAGAACGACACCAUGAUCCGCAAGGAGGUCUUCGUCUCCCCCUCCGUCCUCCGCGAGGCCAGGAGGAUCAUACAGGACUCUGAGGUCUUCAAUUCCUCUUCUUCCCAUAAUUAUUUUAUCUGUUGCGAGCGGAAACCUAGGGUUAGGGUUGGGUGCUGAAUCCUCUGCUUGGAUUGGUUUUGCCUGCAGAUCAUGAGGGAGGACGACAACAACUGGCCGGAGCCCGACCGGGUGGGCAGGCAGGAGCUCGAGAUUGUCAUGGGCAACGAGCACAUCUCCUUCACCACCUCCAAGAUCGGCUCCCUUGUUGACGUCCAGACCAGCAAGGACCCCGAGGGCCUCCGCAUCUUCUACUACCUCGUCCAGGUAAUUCCAUCCUAAUCCACCAUAUUUAUUCAUUCAUUGCUUGCUUUGUGCAUGGGGUGUGCUAUUACGCGCUAAUUGAUGGGUUGCCCAAAUUAUACAAUUGGAUAGAUAUGCGCUCUGGCUGGUACUUGCUAAACUAAGCAAAGCGCAAUUGCUGUAUGAUAUCAAUGGUAUUGUUUGGUUCAUGUUUGUUCGCCAGGGAGAGGUUCUGCUGGCUCCUUUGUAAGCUUGCUGAUAGAAGCACAUAGCUUAACUGUACAGUGGAAGUACAUUGCUUAAGUGUACAUAGCUCAUAUUUUUGACAUACUUCCUGCAGUUAUAAUAUCGCUUCUAUUCCAAGGGUAUUAAUUAAAAUUUGAUACAAACUCGGAAGCCCGUUUAUGGAUUCACCAUCAAUUUGUACUGCUGCUGAACAGCCCUUGUGCUGAACUCAUGCAUGGUAUACUGAGAUAUAUACUUAAUAAUCAAGAUAUAAUUGGCUUCGAGAACAUUGUGAUAAGUUUAUCUGUUUUAUUUUUCAUAGUAAUAUGUUAUGUGUAAGCUCUGGGUGGAGUGUAGCCAUGUCUUCAUUGGCGUUAUAUCUAAUUCAAGGUCAUUGAUUUUGAGAUAAAUGACUAGUCAAUUUUGAGCUUAGUUGUCAAAUUGUCUUCUUUUUAUUCAUAUUUUGCACCAUCAUGUCAGUUGCCAAAAGGGGGAAUCAAUUUCUUAUUAGCUUCUGAGCACCAGUUAUUAUAAGAAACUAGCGUGCCUGCUAUCUAAAGGAAGCAGAGCCACAAUCUACCUUUUGGUGUGUAGUGUCAACAAGCCAACAAGCUGAAAACUUAAGACACAAAAUGUCAGAAAAUACAACCUUAGAAUUUGUCAGUUUGACAUCUGUCAACAUCCUUUCUAUUCCUGAGUAUAUCCUCGGCUCUGGAUUGGCCAGUAAGCACCUGUAGGGAAGAUGUAAUAAAAGAAAUGAUAGAGGCUCAAAGAAAAGAAGUAGCGGACAAGAAAGGAAACAAGAGGAACUAUUCCCCAAAUUAGCAGGAUAUUUCUCGGCAGCCAUACAACUGAGCAGUCUGUAAUACUUUCAGAUAAGGUUUCAGCUUUGGAUGGCCAUAUACUUUUGUAUGCUGUAACACUAAGAGUUGUCAGGACUCUUACUGGAUGGCCUUAUACUUUUUUUUGUCUAAAUUAGCAUUUAGCACCUAAGGAAUACCAGGUCGAGUCAGAGACAACACACUGAUUAUAAUAUCCACCCCCUAUGUUGCACUGUAUAAAUAGCAAAAAAAAUGCUGUCUUGUUUCUAUGCAUGUGAUUUUAAAUUUUUGCAAGUAGAAGAACUGGAUCAGCACACUUUGCUUAAAAUUAAAAGCCCAGCUGUUUUGCCAAACAUAAGUGGUACAAUUUAGCUUUUAUGGUUGUCUGGUGACUUUGUUAAUUAGCAUCAGCACAUUCUGAAUUUAUUUCCCAUCAUCUCUACCUUGAAUCUUGCGAACUAUAUGCACGCAGUGUGGAAGGCAGAUUAAGAUGUUGUAAUAACACCAAGAGCCCUCUUAAAACCACCAAUUUCUUAGUAUUCCUAUUACCUAACAUGACAGACUAUUCCAGAUGUCAUCAGAAAUUUACUAUGUUGCUGUUCAUUAGUAUAAUAGAUGGAUGGAUCAGGGUUCAUUAGAAAUUCUGCAAGUUUUUGUCCUAAAGUUGACACCCUAUGAUAGGCUUAAUUGAGUUUAUGAUUGUCUAAAUGUUAUCUGUUUCUUGCAUGUUUCAUUACUAUUUUGGGGAUACUGUUGUUGUUUAGUAAAGAACCACUAGGUGUUGUUGUGUCUCACUGUCUCACUCUCAAGUUGACAGUAAGAUAUCAGCUGUAAAAAACAAGGAACCUUUAAGGGCACGUAAGUGGGAAAGUCUAACAUAGUAAGGCCUCUAUUUUGCCCCACUUCUAACGGCACUGAUUAUUUGUCUCUUCUACUUAAAGAAUUUGACCAAGAUAAUCUACCAUAGAUUUGUCAUUCAUCCUCAGUCUGCUGCUGCAUUUGCUUAGUGGACAAAUAAUGACAUGGACGUCUAAUGAUCUUCGUUUUGCCUCAGUUCUGACGGCAUUGUUUAUUUGAUUCUUGUGCUUAAAGAAUUUGACCAAACUCAUCUACCAUAGAUUUGUUAUUUCAUCCUCGGUCCUCUGUUAGGUUUGCUUAGUGGAUAAAUGCGAUGGACUACCAUUAAUAAACUCUUGACUACAUUUAAAAGAACUGUUAGUGGCAUGCACAUUCUAGUUAAAGUUUAAAGUGGGUGCACAAAAGCACGUGAUAAGCUGCUUGUGUUAACCCCACACCAAGAUUAUUGACUAAUUGAUUUAAUCUCUUCUCAGGAUAACUAGUAUUUUUUGUUAAGCACAGUACUGUGGAGUUGUAACUGGAAACUAUUCCUAACCUGUAUUAAUGUUUUUGUUUGCAGGACCUGAAGUGUUUUGUGUUUUCACUUAUCAACCUCCACUUUAAGAUCAAGCCUAUUCAAUCCUGAGCUUCUUUCUGUCUCCCAAUUGUGUUAUGGUACUGUUGAGUGUUAGAGAAUUCUGUAUUAUGUAACUUGCAACGAGUCGCUAGUGAUGCAGUUUGGGAUGUGUGUAGAACACCGGGGUGAUAUCUUGGCAUCACCAAAAGUUGUUGGAUUGUGCAAACUGCGAGUGCCCGUUACUCUAGUAGUGAUAUUUAUGAAUGUUUCUUUCCCACUGUCAUGUUCUUUUUAAAAAUAUCAGUGCAGCAUUACUUCCUACCACCUUUCUGGUUCAUGCUGAGCCUACUGCUGCCUUAUUGACAGUGCCCAUCACUAGUUUAUUGAUCCAUCAAGGCAACAUACAGAUCUCUUUGCCACUUCUGGUGCAAAUCAACAGGCUUCCAACUGUUUGGAGGACUGUACUUCCAAGUUUUUUACUGCUCCAGCAUCAGAGAUAAUCUUUGAUUCUCCACAAAUUCUUUCAUGGUUUGUGCCAGCAAAACUGACUGAUAAAAAGAGGCCACAGCCCACGAGGUACGAAUGGAAGGAACCUUUCGUUUUUUGCAAAGCAGAAUAGUGUGAUUAAAGGCUCCAUCGGUCCUAUGUAGCUAUCUUUAGCCUGUGAUUAAAGGCUCCAUCUUUAGCGUGAUUAGUGGCAUCUCAGAAGCACUGUUUGGUACACCGUACACCCUUCUUUUGGCUUUUGCUACAGCAGAGCUUUGCAUUACAUGGAGAGUUUACUUUCUUUUCAUGUAAAGAGGAUUUAUAGUGCAAAAGGAGUUGAUGUCCUGUGUCAUGCAGAUAUCUUCAUUCCCCUCUUGGAAGCAGUAAAACAUCUCUAGCAGUGGGCAACUUGUUGAAAGGGAAAUGCAAAAUCAUAGUAGUAGCUGGAAAAUUCAAGAGAUGAUUACGAAGCAGGAGGAGAAAUGAAAUAAUGCAAUGAACAGCACAAGGUGAUGGAAACAAACCUGCUUCAGGUGUACCCUGACCCUGUACAGAGGGAAACUAGCUAAUCUGCUUUUCGGUUUUAUCCCCACUAGUAGUCUAGUACUACUCCUAAAUGAUAAGAUCAGGAUGAGCAUGUUACUUCACUCAACACUGUGGCCUUUCCUUUCUUUCAAAAUCCAAAAUGGUCCAGACAGACAAGAUUCAUCAUCUCUGUGGCCCAAACCAAAUUUUAACGAAACAUCUCUUUCAUGUUGGUGCUACAUUGUCUUUUACUCUUUACCAAACGUCUUUACUGCUAGUAAAUUUCUACUUGCCAUUUUUAGCCAAAAGCACUUGGUUUUAUCUGUCAGUGUAUAUUGGCAGUGCAAUUGCCUGAUAACUGGGCAGGGUUUAGGGGAUUUCUUAUAGGACAAAAGAAUAGGUGCAGUUUGAUUUCUCCUAUGAUCCCUAUUUAACUACUGUAGUUAAAUAAACAUCCUGCCUGAUUCGAAAGCAUGAUGAUCAUUAGUUCGAAGGUGAUAUGUUCGGAAGUUUAACAUAUGUUCGAAGAUUUCUCCUAUGAUCCCUACUGCACCUAUACGUUCGAAGGUUUAAUAUAUGAACGCCCAAUCAUCUUCGUCUUCGCCGGUCUUUGCACAUAAGUUUGGCCCAACACUUUAUUAAGGUAUCUUUGGUUACGGUGGGAGCAGAGUAGAUAUGAACUUCAUAUACUGAAACGGAAGUAGCAGUAGUAGUAUCAUCAUCUUUGAGUGAGUGGAUGCAGUAAUAAAACUCCUUGGACUCGCAGUUCAACAAAUAUCAUCUUGAAUAUUACUAGCAGUAUUUAUACUAAGUUACACUGGAUUUGUUUCACAAAGAAAAGAAAAAAAAGUUACACUGGAUUUAAUUAGACAGCUGUAGUAAACGACGUAGCACGUGUCAUUACACGUGCGCUACACUAGUUACGUACAUCUGUAGAUACGUGUAUACAUGAUCGAAUACGUAUUUCGGUAGGUUCCCUGAAUACGUCUUCAAGACGUGAGAAGCAGAGAGCUCUGGUGCAGUAAUUCAGUUGGUGGUGUUGAGGAGGGCGAUGAUAUCGAGCGCGACGGAGCAGAGCUGCCCGAGCGCCGCCUCCCUGGUCGCCAGCUCCGCCGGGAACGUCGCCACCGGCGCCGGCGCCGGAGAAGACGACGACGACUGCCGCCGCUGCGCCCGGAAGAAGAGCGCCCGGCAGACCCUGGGGUACUCGGCGGCGGCGCUGACGUGCACGGCGGCGUAGUCAUAGUCCCGCUCCUCGAUGGACCCCCUCGCCGCCGCCAGCGCGUCCCUCGCCUCGCCGUACUUGCCCGCGCACGUCCGCAUCACCAUGGCCGCCGCCUGGGCAUCUCCCCCGGCGGCGCCGCCCUGCGCGGUUCCCGUGGUGUCGUUGGCGCCGACCCCGAGCGCGGCGGCGGAGGCGGAGGCGUUGGAUGCGGCGGCGGCGACGGCGAUGGCGGAGAGGCCCCGGAGGUCGGCGGUGGCGCUGCUGGGGUCGGCGGCCAGGGCGGACACGCAGAGGGAAGGGUACGUCGUCGAGUUGCAGGUCGCCCGGACUAGAGCUGCCGCCGCGGAUGGCGGCGCCAUGAUUGGGAUUGGGAGCACUGAUGGCGGAGCUGGCGAGAUUGGGGAUGGUCGUGGUGGUGGCGAGUGCUUGGUGGUGUGGCUGCCACCAUGGCUCCCGUGGUGGGAGGCCAUGGUGGUGCUGGGCGCGAGGAGGAAGACGACGACGAGCACGAGCUGGGUGGCGGCGUUCAUGAUCGCCAUUAAUUAAUCUAGUGGAUAAAUAUGGAUUACAGACUAUCAGUUUGCUGCUAGCUGUACGUGAGAUGGCUACUUGGUCUAGUGAGUGAGGACACUGAGGAGAGUGAUGAGCUUAGCUUGAUUAGCGAGCUCGAGCUUGAUGGGUUGUUUGGUGAUGGGAGAAGGGAAGGGAUGCGAUGGGGUUUUAUAGGAGGAGGAGGAGGAGGGGGGAUCAUGGAAGCUUAGCUGAUGGUUCCUUGAGGAGUGUAUAGUGUAGUCUGGGUCUGGUCAAGUCCAUAUAUGCGUAUAUGCACGUGGACUGUGGUUGCAUGCCAAAAUUGACUCCUAAUUAUCUUCUGCCUAAUUUAAUUGCACAAGUGGAGCUAGGCCAGGCAGCAGAAGUCCACGAUGCCAUAUGUGCUUUCGAUCUUUACUUCCUCGUAUGAUUUGCAAAUUGAAACGGCUUAUUUUCGUCACUGUAAAUUUUCGUGUUUUUCUCGUACGUUAUAUGUUUUUUCUCCCUUGCUAUUUUUGGAUCGUGUAGUGCGCGUGACCAUCUUUUAAAACAGGAUUAAUUGCACAAAUAAACGGACAAAGGUGGAGCCGACAUGCAAAAAAAAAUAUGAGUUGCCAGAGAUAAACGCGUACGUAGUCACAUCAGAGUUUGGAUUAUCGUUCAGGUGGUGGGUAUACUAUGUGGCAUUCGCGAUCGAGGUCACUAUUCAUGGCUUUAUCGACAAUUUAAAAUCGGAGGGAGAGUAUUAUAUAUAAUUACUUUGUCCUCGCCAACCUCCAAUGUUGCUCUUUGCCCCUAGCUGCUAUAGCAAAAUCCUGACUCCUCCUCCCUUGUUCAUAUAUAGCUCUCAUAUAUUUAUGUUGUAUAUGACAUGUGUGCAUUCGUCGUCGCUAGUGUAAGUGCACGUGUCAAUCUAUUGUACUCGACUACUCGGUGCUUGACCAAUGAUAACUCUGUUAAUAUGUGUUUUUACAUACAUGAAAUUUAUAUCGAUAGAUUCGUUCUUAAAAGUUCUUUCUAAUAAUCAUGAUUUUAUAUCAUAUACGUUACAUAUUAAUAGAGUAAUUUUUUAUCAAAGUCUUGUCUUAACGAAACAAAAUACGCCAAACUUUGUGAAAAAGAGGGAGUAAAUAAAUGGAAGUGCUUUAAAAACACACGAAUUAGUUGGUUGAAUUCGUCUCCGUGUUUCUCGUGUGGAUCGAACGCACACCCUCCUAGCUUAGCUACUAAUCUUAGCUUGGGUAGCACGUUAUAGGAAUUAAUUAACAAUGUCAGUGCGCUAUAUACACUCCAUGACGUAUAUUCAGUUUCAAGUUUUGGUAUACACAUUCAUGAAUAUCUGAUACGAGUGCGUGUGUGGUAGCAAAUUAAUCAAGCUAGCUCAGUGGGCUGAGAACUACUUUUGUUAAUUAGCUAAACGUGUUGACGACGGGUCGACAUUGCAUAGUGACUUGGUGAGUCAUGGGGCCAAGUAGGACGUGUUUGACUAUUGCAGUACUGCUGCUGUGCGCAUAUACGACGAGAAAUUACUAGGAACAAGAAGAAGGAAGUUGGCAGAAUCCGGCAGGGUUCCUCUAACUGCGACAAGGCCGGAGUGUCUAUCAUAUCAAGCUGGCCGUGUCAAUAGUCAAGGAGCUAUAUGAGUAGACAGUACACGCAAUGCACGUUCCACAUGAAAUAUCUCAUAUUUCCCCCUCUCUCUCGAACCUGCAUGCAUUCUGCUAUUGUCAGUGUUUAAAGUUUCGGAUCGAUGACUGCUUGCUGCUCCCUCCGAUUCUAAAUUGUUGUCGAAAUAUUUCAUGUAUGUAGACUUUUUUAAAAAUAGAUAUACAUCCAUAUUUUAGCAAAUUUGAAUCAGAAGUUAAUUAAGCUAGGCUUGCAGUUAACUAACUCAACUAGCUAAAAUCGACACGUACUCUACGCGUACACACACUUGUAAGAUUCUAGAGUAGAUGGUUAAUUAGAUUCACGUUCCAGUACGUUCGAUCGAGUACACGUUGAGUAUCUAGCUACUUUUGGACAGCCGCCGCUACUCGAUUUCGGUUCAUAAUCCACGGUGUACGUGCUGACAUAUACUGAUCGGGAAUUCUCCGUACGUAUCUGGUGGCUUCUGGACACAUUAGCCGCUCUACCUACCCACUUAUGUACUCUCUCCAUUCUAAAAUGUAAAAAGCAAAUAUUUUCUGUUAACUGUGAAAUUUUCUAAAGUUUGAUCAAUCUUUUGAUUAACAAAACAUAUGUAAGACGCAGAUGAUUAAAUUCAUUGUGAAAUAUAUUAUCAUAAUAUCUUAGUUUGAUACUGUAUACUUUGAUAGUACUAUUUUCAUAGUAUAUCAGUCUUACUUAUCGAAACUUGCGUGCAGCUAGCAGGUUGAUUAGAGGUGGCAUCCUUUCUCUCUCUCUGGAAAUGCAAGUUUGUACGUAUAUAAUGACUAAAGUACUAAAGUAUACAGAUACUUCAGGUAUUUAUCCAUAAAUUUGUCAAACUAAAGUACUACAGAUACAUAGCGAAAUCUGCACUAAUUCCUAGCUAGUAGCUAGGUUAAUUAAUUGCCAUUGCAAAAUUUGAUUUGGAUUUGAUAGUGCUCUCUUCUUUUUUCAGGUGGGCUAUGA